rnacentral:lncRNA from 1 species
UGAGCUUGAAUCACUCACUGCAUCUGAGUUACAGCUGGCUUCUUGAGCUACUCUGUUUUCCUCUGUGUUCCUUUUCUGAAGGGCAUCGUGUGAAAGCACUGCAGUCUAUAUGCCAGCAAACGUGGAAAUAAUAGUACUAGUUAAUAAUCCUUGUGUGUGUGAGACUGGAUAUGUUUGUGAUGAGCAACCGAUAGACUUGAGCCGAAGUAAUCAGAACUUCAGGAUCAGUUAGUCUCGAAAACUUUUGAUUGUAAAUGACAUGUAGUUGUUCUAAGUAAUGACUUAUAAUUCGGACAUUACAACCUUAGAGGGUGCUUGGAUACGUUUUAGUCUCAUGACUAAAAGUAGUGGAACUAAAACUUGCUAGCCUCACCCAUGCUUGAAUACAAAUACUAAAUAGACUAAAAUGUGUUAAUGAGCAUUUAUUAUCCUCCAAACUCUCCAAUCCCGAACUCGCAUGUGUUAAAGGAGAGGAGUUAAAUGAGGAGAGAGAGGACUAAUCCAUAUUUUAGUAGGGUUUCCCUGACUAAAAUUUUUUAGUCUCAAGACUAGUUCUAGCCUCUCUUUAGUCAGGGUGAUUGGAAUUUUAGCCUCUAAAAGAGACUAGUUUUAGUCAGACUGAAUGUACAACCGGAGAUCAUCAACUCAUCAACCGGAGGCCAACCCUCCCUCUCGCAUCACACCCCUUGCGGCCGACACGAGAGGCGCCAACCCUAGCCACCAGCCGCCCCGACUCCUCCCCUCCGUCGCCGCCCGGGGCGGCGCCGGGCAAAGCCCGUGCGAUUGACGGCGGCGGUGGAGGGCUGUUCCUCCUUCUCCCGGGUUGAACCGCGGGGAGGGCACUGGAUCCGCGGGGGAGCGGCCUUUCCCUCGGUCCAUGGUGGCGUGGUGGCUCCCGGCGGCGGCGUUUGUGGUGGCGUGGGUGGAGAUCGGCCAGAGGAUGGGGGUGGGGUUGGGUGUGGCCAAUGGCGGCAGCCUGUUUGUCAGCGACGCCGACCAACAGGAGAUGAAUACUGAAGAUCGAAGGACAGGCGACAACAGGUGAAGGCACUGUAGGAAAACCCUAUAUGACGCAUUUUGCGUCACAUUAUUGACCUUUCGCGGUCGCGAUCGAGUGUUUGAGAUGGGCCGGCCCGUUAAUGCGUUCCUCGUUGCCGGUUUGGGACACUUCUCGAAGGUUCCAGCGGUCUUUUCCGGUUUACGGAAUCUUCCAGAAGGUUCCUAAGCCGGGGUCUUUUAUUUUAUUUUUGUUUUCUUUUCCUUUUUCGUUUUUCAUUUUUUUCUGUUUCUUUUUUCUUUUUCUGUUCUUUUUGUUUCCUUUUUCAGUUUCCAAUUUUUCAAUGAACUCAGCAUUUCAUAAUUUGUUUGGAAUUUCAAAUUUAGCUCAAAAUUUCAAACAAUCUUCGGAAAUUUAUUUUGAUCAUGUUCUCUAAAUAAAUGAUAAACAAUUCAAAAAAUGUUCAGAUUUCCAAAUUUUUGUUCACAUUUUGAAAACUUGUUUCUAUUAAUUCAAAAAAUGUUCGUGUUUCAAAACUUGUUCGCAUUUUUAAAAAUGUUUGGAUUUAAAAAAACACAUUUUGAAAUCUUGUUCUAUUAAUUCAAAAAAUGUUCAAGUUUCAAAACUUGUUCGCAUUUUCAAAAAAUGUUCAGAUUUUCAAAUUUUUGUUCACAUUUGAAAUCUUGUUUCCAUUAAUUCAAAAAAUGUUCAAGUUUCAAAACUUGUUCCCAUUUUCAAAUAAUGUUCAGAUUUUCAAAAUUUUGUUCACAUUUUAAAUCUUAUUUCUAUUAAAUCAAAAAAGUCCGAGUUUCAAAACUUUUUCGCAUUUUCAAAAAAUGUUCAGAUUUUCAAAACUUUGUUCACAUUUGAAAUCUUGUUUCUGUUAAUUCAAAAAAUGUUUGAGUUUCAAAUCUUGGUCGCAUUUUCAAAAAAUGUUCACAAUUCCAAAUAAUGUUCGCAUUGCCAAAUUUUGUUCAGAGUUACAAAAAAUGUUCCCUUUCUCAAAAAUUGUUCACAGAUCCAAAAAUAUGUUCGCUUUCUUCAAAUUUUGUUCCAAGUUCCAAAAAAUGUUCACUUUUACUAUUUUCGUUCAUUUUUUAUGAAAUGUUCUUGUUUUUCAAAAUUUUGUUCAACAUUACAAUAAAACUUUGUUGUUUUUCAAAAAAAUUGUACACAGGUCAAAUAAUGUUCAACAAUUUAAAUUAAUUAUUCACAAUUUUGGAAUUGUCGGCGUUGAAAAAAAGAUACAGGUUUUGAAAACAAACUGCGUUUUUCCCGCAAAAAAAUAAACGAACGUUCGAACUUUAAAAAAUGUUUACAUCUGUCUUGGAUUAUGUUCUUAUAGAGUGUGUUGCUUAAUAUUUCCAAAGAAAGUUUUCCGGUGCAAUGGGUAGCCGCGAGGGUACUAAACGUGAGAGCAUCUCCAGCCGUUGGCCCUCCAGGGGCGCCUAAAAUCGCCGCCUAGGGGUGACCCGGUGCAAAAAAUGGGCCUAGGGGCGAGUUGGCCCCCGGCCGCGGGCCCCAGGGCCGCCCCCAGGCGAGAAAAAAAAAUUGUAUAGCAAAUUUAGGCAAAGUUUGACUAAAACACGCCAAAUUUCGGUAAACUUGGGCUUUAUAUUCGCGGAUUUAAGUCGAGUAGUUGUCAUUACAUAUAAAAACUAAUAAAAAAAACUUGCUGAAGGCCGAGAAGUCGCCGUCGUCGCCGCCAUCGUCGGCCUUCUCCACUUUGACUCGGGCGCCGCUGCUGGACCCCUCCCCGGCUGGUGGCGGCGGCGACGCGUCGUUGUCGUCGCUGUCGUCGAUGAUGACGACUCCUCCUUCAUCGCGGCCUCGGCGGCGCUGCGCGAAGCGCCGCAGGGCGGCGCACUGGCGCUCCCUCGCCAUAUUCAGGGAGUCUUGGCAUGCGCAUUCAAGGGCCGCGUCGUCAUCGAGCUUGACCUCGCCGUGCUCCGUCUUCACCGGCUCCAACCCCGGCUCCGUCUUCACCGGCGCGAGACCCGACUUCGUCUUCGGCUUGACGAAGCGCGGGGGAGGAGCCGACAAGGAGGCGCGCCGACCGCCCUCGCUGAUGACGAUGCCAGCGCUGCGAGUGCGGCGGCCGAGCGGCAUCUCCGCCGCGGGCUCGGCCUUGACGCCGAGCAGCGUCGGAGUGCCAGAGGAUUGAGACAAAGAGCGAGACGAGGAGGAAGAGGAGGAGGAGCCGAACCUCCUUGGCGCCCAUUGCCCGUCGCGUCGGCGGUGCGCCGGGGCGGCCGCCCUCGCCGGGGGGUACGCCAACGGUGGGUUGUUGCCGCCCUCGAGGUGCGUCAGCACGCCCUCAAGCGUGCGGCCGGGGACGCCCUACCAUAGGUGGCGCCCCUCGCUGUUCUUCAGGCCGCCGACCACCGGCGCCCCGUUGGUGGACGCCAGCUGUCGGUGUCAAAACCGGCGGAUCUCGGGUAGGGGGUCCCGAACUGUGCGUCUAGGUGGAUGGUAACAGGAGACAAGGGGCACGAUGUUUUUACCCAGGUUCGAGCCCUCUCGAUGGAGGUAAAACCCUACUCCUGCUUGAUUAAUAUUGAUGAUAUGGGUAGUACAAGAGUAGAUCUACCACGAGAUCAGAGAGGCUAAACCCUAGAAGCUAGCCUAUGGUAUGAUUGUUGUUCAUCCUACGGACUAAAACCCUCCGGUUUAUAUAGACACCGGAGAGGGCUAGGGUUACACAGAGUCGGUUACAAUGGGAGGAGAUCUACAUAUCCGUAUCACCAAGCUUGCCUUCCACGCCAAGGAAAGUCCCAUCUGGACACGGGACGAAGUCUUCAAUCUUGUAUCUUCAUAGUCCAGGAGUCCGGCCAAAGGUUAUAGUCCGGUCAUCCGGACACCCCCUAAUCCGAGACUCCCUCAGUAGCCCCUGAACCAGGCUUCAAUGACGACGAGUACGGCGCGCAGAUUGUCUUCGGCAUUGCAAGGCGGGUUCCUCCCCCGAAUACUUCAUAGAAGAUUUUGAACACAAGGAUAGUGUGUGGCUCUGCAAAAUAAAUUCCACAUACCACCAUAGAGAGAAUAAUAUUCAAAUAUAAUCUGCUGACGUAUUCCGUAGCGUGACAUCAUGCCACGGCCAAGCCUUCAUUCGAAUCGUUUUACUAUCCCACCUCAGCGCGUUUAGCGAGGCGGUUUCCUUGGCACGUCUUGUCAAAGCAGAUAUCGUGUCCCCUUAUUCCGGGAUUCUCAUCAAUACGGGCGUGGGUAACCCAGCCGCGCCAUUAAUCAUGGUGCUUGGGAGAUAAGCGAGUUUUACUAGGCUGAUGGGGGUACAUAGUUUCGUCCGCCCAUAUAAGGGGAUAAGGAUCCACUCUUUCCAUUUACGCCUUCUUCCUCCUUUGCUUAUCCAUCUCCGCGCACUCGAGAUCCAGCGCCCAAGUCCGCACUUCCCACCUCAACCUUCUCCAGCCAUGUCCGGAGCGGGAGGUAGGUGGAUGGCCUCCUCCGUUACGGAGGGGCACAUCAAAAAGUUGAGGAAGGCCGGAUACUUGUCCAACGACAUUGCGCACCGGCUUCCAGACGAGGGGCAGCUCAUUCCCACCCCUAGGACACAUGAGAGGGUGGUGUUCCUCCCCCAUUUCCUCCGCGGACUAGGCUUCCCACUCCACCUAUUUGUCCGGGGGCUCAUGUUCUACUAUGGCCUGGAUUUCCACGAUCUGGCCCCAAACUUCAUCCUCAACAUCUCGGCGUUUAUCGUCGUGUGCGAGGUCUUCCUCCGCAUCAAGCCCCACUUCGGCUUAUGGCUGAAGAUCUUCAAUGUCAAGCCGAAGGUAGUGGGCAGCCAGCAGGCGGAGUGCGGAGGCGCCAUGGUGGGCAAGAUGGCCAACGUCACAUGGCUCGAGGGAUCCUUUGUGGAAACCAUCAGAGGGUGGAAAUCGGGAUGGUUCUACAUCACCGAGCCGCGUGACCCUGAAUGGGCAGCGGCCCCCGAAUUCCGAUCUGGCAUCCCCACACGGCUCACCUCCUGGAAAGAGACGGGCCUGUCGUGGGGUAAUUCAGCAGAGCUGACCGGACUCCAAACCUGCGUCAAAGACCUGAUUGACAAGAAGGUUAAAGUUGUCACCGUAGUCCAGGUCAUGCUCUUCCGCCGGAUCCUCCCGUGUCAACGACGGACUUUCAACUUGUGGGAAUUCGACCCGGCCCAGCACCAAACUUUGUCCAGGCUCUUUGACACAACGCACAAAGAUGCCUCUAAGGUGCUAUUCAAGGGCUCCGAGGUUCACCAUCCCAUUACCGAGGAUCGCGGAUUCUGCGCGAAGCGCCAAGCCAGCGUGGUAAGCUUAUUUUACCCAUUACAUGAUACUUGUUUUUCAUAGUUUGACUCUAUGCAGGAUCUAAGGUCCCAUUCCUUUAACAAGACUGGCAGAAGAAGUCCGGACAGAUAGACUGUCCGGCUCCUUUGCCCGAAGGUCCAGCGGACGCCAGUUUGGCGAAGCUGCUGGUCCCGGCACCUCACGUGGUGCUGGAGAAGAAGGCCAAGAAGAAGGCCACGGGAACUCGAAAGAGUUCCCGGUGCCUGGUAGUGUCGGAUUCCUCAUCCGGUGACUCCGAGGCGCACUCCUCCCACGAAGGCGAGGAGGAGGAAGAAGAGGCCUCUCCCCCUCCAACGGGGGGAGGAAAGAAAAGGAAGGCCACCCCAACUAGGGGGGCCGGAGGGUCCAAGAAGGGAAAAAACCCUUCUCCCGGACCACUCCACCAACGCUGACGACGGCGAAGAGGAGUGGCCAUCCAGGGACAAGCCCCUGGCAAAAUCGUAAGUAUCCGGAUACCAGAAUAACUCAUGGUGUUCCUUUACUACACAGUGUCUUCUAACACCGAACAUAAUCAUGCAGUCCGCCCAAGGCCCAGCUCGACGCUUCGUCGAGCGGAUCCCAGGAUUCGUCGGAUGUGAAUAGUCUUUCACUCCCGAUUGCUACCUCCCCUCGCCCCACGGACGACGCCGAGGUGGAGUCCCAAAAGGGGACGGGCCAGGAGGAGGCAGCCCCGGAGGCACCGCAAGGCGACCUUUCGGAUUCCAGGCGCAAAGGGGAUAAAACCCCAAAGGGCUCUAGGUCCGGCCCCGGGCCAAAGACCGCACCGGAACCUUCAGUGGUUCCGGAGUCCGGCAGGCGGCCCCUUCGUAAGAAGGGCAAGCCUACGACGCCGGUGACCUCCGUCCAACCGGAGGCACCGGAUAAUUUGCUGGAGGUGCUCAACGGCGCCUCCAUCAACGAGGAGCACUGCACUAUUAUGAGUGCGGUGAUCCAGAAGGUUCAGUCCGCCAAAAGUGGGCUGACAGAAGCAUGUGCCAGCCUUCUAACAGGCUUCGAGGUAUGUAUUUAAGAUAUGUAAGAAUAUUACCACAUAGACAGUAGCCCCUGAUGCUCUAUUUGGUGUUCAGAAAGAAAAGCCGGACUGAGGAUCUAAAAAGAUAUACGCAGGAGUCUAACAUAAAUAUGUCAAUAUGGGAAUGCAGGCUACGCUGCUGACCUCUGCCGCACUGACUGCGGAGGUCGAUGCAUUGAAGCAGAGCCUCGAGCGGUCCGAGAACGAGCUCGGCCUUGCCAAGAAGCAGCUCGAGGACAAAGAAGGUAAGUAGUACCUUAUGUAAGUAUAUGAAAAUACCUGGUUGCAAAUAGUGACAGGAUCAACGUGAGUGUUAUAGGGGCCACAACCAAGGUGGCGACCCUGAAGGAAGCGUUGUCCAAGGCCGAAGACAAUGCGGCCAUGGAGCGCACCAAGCGAGAAAAGCAGGAGGCGCGGGUGGCGGAGGUGCAGCAAGAGCUCCAUGCUCUUGUGAAGAAACACGAGAGAUUGGAGCUUGACUCAAAGACUCGAGAGUCCGAGCUUGCCUCGGCCCUUGAGAGCGCCAAAUCUGCCAAGGCCGAAGCCCAAAAAGCCCUCCAGGAAAUUGAGGCGAUGAAGAAGAUAGCGGCGGGUAAGGCAUUCUUUAUGCAAAACAAGCACGUGAAAGUGAAUUACUUGUUACUUACGCGAGUCCGGAGCUCUCCAGGAGCAUUCGCAGAUUUGCCCCGCAGUGUGUUCGAUGCUACCUCAUUCUACCGGGCCGAGGAAGGGAGCUCGACGGAGAAGGUGUUCUGGUCCCAGUAUGUUGAGGCCAGACACCUGGUGCCCUUGAGCGACCAGCUGAAGCAGCUGGUCGAGCUCCAUAAGGUAGCCGAACAGGCCAUGAAGGGCCUAAUAGUCCGGCUAUGGCCUGGGGAGGUCAUGCCCGGGAGCUACUUUGGGCUGGUGAGGCGGCUGGUGGAUGCCUGUCCACGGCUUGAAGUCAUCAAGCGCUCCAUAUGCAUCGAAGGCGCCCGUAGGGCCCUUGCCCGUGCUAAGGUACACUGGGGCAAGCUGGAUGCUGAGAAGCUGGUGAAAGAUGGGCCACCGGAGGGGAAGGAGCAUCACAGGCCCGAGAUGUAUUAUGAGGGCGUCCUGAAGGAUGCCCGCCUUGUGGCGAAUGAAUGUUCCAAGGAUUUAAUUUUUGAGUAAACUCGCUCGUGUUUAUCCUGUGCGCUGAAAACUUGUUCAUAUGCGCUAAGCAACGCUUUUUGAAUUUAAAAUAUUACCUUCUGUGCGGCCGUUUAUUAAAUCUGAGAGAUGUGAGUCGUCGGCUUCUGCCCCCAUGCCACAAGUGCUGGGGUGUUCGGGAUAAACCCGAGCGCUCUUGUUCCCAUUCUUGGGUCCUUCGAGGGAGGCGCUCAGCACAACGAACAAGGCAAUCAGACUAUAAUGCUUUAUCACUCUCACUUAGCCAUAGAAUUCUAUAAUUUUAAAUUUCGGCGAAGCCCCUAGUAUUCGGAAGACCGAGUUUGGGGCGCUAUCCACGCCUAGGCCGGACAAAGCCAGCUCCUCGCUCUAAGCGGCAUAAGUCUUUAGGGACUCGAAAACCUCUCGAACAGCGACCGGCUCUCGCCCUAUCAUGACGGUCAGUUUUAGCUUUCUCUACUGAGGUGCUUAACCCAGCUCAACUGGGGCACAAUCAUAGUAGUUCUCCCAGCGCUACCUUAGCCGAUAUAACGGAACGUAAGGUACCAAAACAUGGGAGCCGGGCAAACCCAACUAUUGACCCAAGACAUGAUUCGAAGCCGAUGCAUAUAAUGCUAUAAGUUCAGGGUGCCGCACUCGUGAGAGUGUUCGGACUUCUCACACCAUAUUCUGGGGUACUUAAGCCCCUGGUGUAUUGGCCGUACCAAAGUGUAUGGUUGCCUAAUGUCAUAACUGAACACAUUUACAUAAAAAAUGAAUGCAAUAAUAGAUGAAAGCUAUGUAUUUUUUAAUAAAAGGCUGCUAUGAAAGCAGAACGAUACAAAUAGUGCGAUAAGCAAGAAAUGGGAUUAUUUGACAUGUCCCCCUCCAGGGGCAAGCUGCGGGACUUUUAUGUAAGACAGGUAUUUAGCUCGUUAUAGAGACCACCUGGACGUCGACGUAGCUUGCUGGUUCUCUGGCUAUUGCAUCGUGGGUUCGGCAAUUGUACUGCCGGACAGGCCUUUUGGAUAGUGGAGCCCUGAAAGAAUGACAAAAUCGGGAGCCCCUAGUGCGGUUGAGCCGCAUUUUGGGCGUGCCGUGUGAAAGGGCAUGUAGCCCCUAAGUGUGGUUUUGGUAAUUAAAUGACAAUCUCUAUGGACUAAUGUUUUCAGUGAGAUAUAUUUGAAGGUUUUGUCCAUAGAUAGUGCCUCAAGGAUAUUGGACGGAAUCAAGGAUGAAGUCCAUAUAUAUGAAGAUAGUGCCUCAAGGAUAUUGGACGGAAUCAAGGAUGAAGUCCAUAUAUAUAUAUAUAUAUAUAUAUAUAUAUAUAUAUAUAUAUGAAGUUAGUGCCUCAAGGAUAUUGGACAGAAUCAAGGAUGAAGUCCAUAUAUAUGAAGAUAUAUUUGCCCUAUGCUUUGGUACUAAAUGACAAUUCCUACGGAGCAUCAAGUGCAUUGAAUCUUAUAUGAAGAUAUGUUCCAUAGUGAUGCUUGAAGUGCAUUGGACUGUUUUGUGAAGUCUGCCAUCAAAGCAUCCGAAGAAGUCCUCAUGGUGUCCUUCUCUGGAUACCCCGUGCACACGGGCUUGUACCGUGCGCACGGGGUCGAGUGUCAACUCUCUGGAUACCCCAUGCUUACUUGGCCUAGGUGUUGGCUCUCGAGAUCCCAUAUACAGUGAGGUUUCAAGUUGGUCUUCGGGUACUUCUAUUGAAGCCAUCAAGAUUGGUUUCAAUGCCUAAUCUAAUUAUGUUCAUGAUGGAGUGCAUUGGAGGAUCUCAAAGAUUGAUAUAUUUGGGCUUUUGAGGAUCAAGGCUUGAGAGAGUAAUCAAAGAGAAGAAUUCAAGUUAUGGUCUCAAGACAAGAUCAUGGUGAGAUCAUGUGUUGGGUUUCGGUUGAUCAAGUGUUGAAGCAAGCAACUAGAGUGACGAAUUCAUUAUGCCUCUCAAGAGAUUGUGAUGGAGUUUUUAGAAGGGCAAGUGGUGACCAAGAUGAUAUUCAUAGUGGAACUUGAUAUGGUCAUGGAAGAGUCUUUGGUGAUAUAGUCUUGAAGCAAUGAAGGGAAAUGAAGAGUUCAUUGUGGCUUUCAAGAAACCAAGAUGGAGCUUCGAGUAAAGAUGUUGGUUGACCAAGAUGAAGCUCAAAGAUUAUAUCUAAGUGGUCAACUCUCAAAGCACAAACAUUGUACCACGUGAGAUCAAGUGAUCUAGUGGUAUGGUAAGUAAUUGUGAAUUGUGCUUUGUUACCUAACCCAUGCUAUGUGUUUGGUAUGUCUAUGUGGGUUAGGUGUUUCUCAUGGGCUUGCAUCAAAAGGAAAGAUCUCAAGUAGCCUAUGUGUGGAUGACAUCAAGUGGUGAUGGUCAUCGGGUUCGAGGAUUCCAAGUGCAAGAUGAGAAGCCGGAGGUUAUAUGCUUUGAAGCUUGCAGUCCACAUCAUGAUAAUGCUCAUGUGAAGAUGGGCUUAAGUUAAGGCUUCCCUCAUUGCAAUAUGAGGAAUCAAUUCAAGCAUCUUCACCAAGUGGUUGUGGAGAAGAAAGGGAUUCCAACUUGAGACAAGCAUUGGAGUCAUCACCAAGCUCAAGUUGAAUAUGCAAGGCAAAGGUAUACUUUAGCUAGCUUUUCCUAGUUUUUCCGGUCUCAUGGUGCUUGGAGGGAGACCGGAUUAUAGGUUUGAUGGCCGUACUAUCAAGAGGGACUCUCGGGCAAGUAGCUUGAUCAUGUCGCAUGUAGAGAGAUCAAACCUUUGCAUUACUUGCAUCAUUAUUUAUUGUUGAUCUUGGGUGGUUCUCUAUGUGAGGACCUUGGGCUUUUCCAUAGCUUCAAAACAAGCCCAAGAUCUCAUCGAAUUUGGAGUCCGUAUGCCAAAGUUAUCACUGUUUUAGUGGGCUGCUGCAGGCUGUUCUGGGUACCCCGUGGACACGGGGUUUUUGACCCCCGUGGGCACGGGGCCCCAUGCACACGGGCCUGUACCAUGCGCACGGGACCCCGUGGGCACGGGUGUCCAGGAAGUGUCCGUUGGAGCCCCAACGGCUAGUUUUGGAAGUUGGCUAUAAAAGAGCCCUUCCUCCCCACCGGUUUGGGGGUUGUUCAUUCACAUUCUAAACAUCAUUUUGAGCCUCUUACCACCUCUCCCAAACCCCUAUCUCCCUUCUAAGUGAAGGGUGAUUUGUGGAUGGAUCUUGGAGUCAUUUGUUGAUUUCCUCCAUUGCAUCCCCUCUCUUCAAUCUCCCACUUUCUUGAGUUGCAUCUUGUGAGAUUGAGAGAGUGAGUUGAGAAUUUGUUGCUUGACCAUGCAUUGCAUUUGUUGCAUUGGUUUGAGCUCCCUGCAUUGAUUUGUUCGUGUGAGAGCCCAUGAGUUUAUUACUCUUGGAGGCUUCGCCUCCUAGACGGUUUGGUGAUAUAUUGAGAAGAUUGUGAAGAGGCCUAUGUGGCCAAGGUUCUCCCGGAAGCUUCCUUUUGUGGUGUGCUCCAAGGAAGGGUGUUCAAGUGGCCUAGGUGGUCAAGUUCCUCCGGAAGCUUCCGUGGUUGUGGUGUGCUCCGGAGAGGUUUGUAAAGGUGUGGUGGUCGCCUUCAAGACCAACCCCAAGUGAAUCGAGGCUCAUCCGUUUGGGGUGACUCGAAAGGGAGAAUACGGCGAGUCACUUGGUGACGCCCCGGAGCUUUGGCUACGGCACCGCUCCAACGGAGAUUAGCACUCUAAUGAGUGUGAACUUUGGGAUAAAUCCGCGUCCCCGACUCACUUGUGGUUAUCUCAUACCCACACCCUUUACUUUCCGCAAUUCAUACUUGCCCAUAUUGAUAUAUCUUGUGAUAGUUGAAUUUCUUAGUUGUUCCUUCAUUUCCAUAUCUUGUGAUAUAGUUUGUGCUUGCUAGUUUGCUUAAUUGCCUAUCUUGUUUAGCAUAGGUUGUUGGUGCACUUAGUUGAGCCUAGCAUUUUUGGGAUUUGUGCUUGAAAAGUAUCCGUUAGUUUAAUUCCGCAUUAGGAUAAAGCCAAAUCCGUAAAAGUUUUUAAAACUCCUAUUCACCCCCUCUAGUCGUCAUCUAGAUCAUUUCACCGUGGUUGUGCCCCUCCCCUGAUGCCCAUGGUAUUUCCAGAGCGUAAUUAUGUACGUGUAGUACUGGUUUCGCAAUUUCGCGAGGGCUGGGGUUGGGGACGCACUGCUACGCUUGCACGGAACGCGCCAGGCGGUCUUGUUGUAGGUUACUCCGGGCGUGCUUGACGAUGUCCAGACGUUUAAUAGUCGGUCUGGAGAAUUGCCUUGAGAGGCUACUUUGUACUUCUGCUGUGAGGGCCGCCGUAUGCUCCUCUGUUCGGAGAGAGCGUUCAGUGUUUCCAUUGACCGUAAUGACUCCUCGAGGGCCUGGCAUCUUGAGCUUGAGGUAUGCUAGUGCGACACCGCAUUGAACUUUGCAAAUGCGGUUCGUCCGAGCAGGGUGUGAUAGCCACUGCGGAACGGGACUAUGUCGAAGAUUAACUCCUCGCUUCGGAAAUUAUCCGGGGAUCUGAAGACCACUUCCAGUGUAACUGAGCCUGUACAGUUGGCCUCUACACCUGGUAUGACGCCUUUAAAGGUCGUCCUUUUGGGUUUAAUCCUUGAGGGAUCUAUGCCCAUUUUUCGCACUGUAUCCUAAUAAAGCAGGUCCAGGCUACUGCCGCCGUCCAUAAGGACUCUAGUGAGGUGAAAUAUGUCAAUGAUUGGGUCUAGAACCAAUGCGGCAAAUCCGCCGUGGCGGAUGCUAGUGGGGUGGUCCCUUCGAUCGAAAGUGAUCGGGCAGGAGGACCAUGGGUUGAACUUUGGGCGACUGGAUCCAACGCAUAUACGUCCCUGAGUGCAUGCUUCCGUUCCCUUUUAGGGAUGUGGGUUGCGUAUAUCAUGUUCACCGUCCGCACUUGUGGGGGAAAGCCCUUCUGUCCCCUAUUGUUCGGCGGCCGGGGCUCCUCCUCGUCAUCGCUAUGCAGCCCCUUGUCUCUGUUUUCGGCGCUUAACUUGCCUGCCUGCUUGAACACCCAACAAUCCCUGUUGGUGUGAUUAGCUGAUUUUUCGGGGGUGCCGUGUAUCUGGCACAAGCGAUCGAGUAUUCGGUCCAAAUUGGACGGGCCCGGAGUACUUCUUUUGAAUGGCUUUUUCCGCUGACCGGGUUUAGAGCCUCGGAAUUCGGCAUUAACUGUCGUAUCCUCCGCAUUGUCGCCGUUAAUGUGGCGCUUGUGUUUGUUGCGACGCAACCUGUCAUUGUUGUCCUUGGUAUCCGAAUUACCAGGGCUCUUGGUCAUGUUAUUACUACGAGCUAGCCAGCUGUCUUCUCCCACGCAAAAGCGGGUCAUGAGUAUUGUGAGGGCUGCCAUGGAUUUCGUCUUUUCCUGUCCUAGGUGCCGGGCAAGCCAUUCGUCAUGGAUGUUAUGUUUGAAGGCUGCGAGGGCCUCUGCGUCCGGACAGUCGACUAUUUGAUUUUUCUUGGUUAAGAACCGUGUCCAGAAUUGUCUGUCCGAUUCAUCUGGCUACUGAAUAAUGUGGCUUAGGUCAUCGGCGUCUGGUGGUCGCACAUAGGUGCCCUGGAAAUUGUCAAGGAAUGCGGCUUCCAGGUCCUCCCAGCAACCAAUUGACUCUGCUGGCAAGCUGUUAAGCCAAUGCCGAGCUGGUCCUUUAAGCUUGAGUGGGAGGUAUUUUAUAGCGUGUAGAUCAUCACCGCGGUCCAUGUGGAUAUGAAGGAGAUAAUCCUCGAUCCAUACCGUAGGAUCUGUUGUGCCAUCGUAUGAUUUGAUGUUUACGGUUUUAAAACCCUCGGGGAUUUGAUGAUCCAUUACUUCAUCUGUGAAGCAUAGUGGGUGUGCGGCGCCUCUGUACUGGGCUAUAUCAGGACGUAGCUCAAAUGAGCUUUGUCUGCUGUGUUCGGCUUGGCCGUAUUUGCCAUAUUCGGCAUGACGGUUAUCUUCAUGUGCCAUGGGGCGCCCACGUGAUCCGUAGAUCGAUCUUGUUUGCCUUGCCUUGUCCUCUAAUAUGUCUCGCAGGUCUGGCGCAUUUCCCCGUGCCUUGGAAUUUUUUGAGCAACGCCGGGUUGUGUCUUGAGUGGAUGGCUGAGAGGCCUCUCUGUCGCAGCCACGAGGUGGCCGGUCGGCCGCGUCAUGCGCUGGUGAUGUAGGCUUAGGUGCUUCCUCCUCUAAUCGGGGUAGCAGCCUGCGCUUUGGGUAGCUCUUGGAGGGGCAUUCGAGUUCGUAUUCCUCGGCCGCAAGGACUUCAGUCCAUCUGUCGGCUAGCAAGUCUUGGUCAGCUCUAAACUGCUGCUGUUUUUUCUUGAGGCUGCUCGCCGGGGUCAUAAUCCUGCGUUUGAAACGCUCUUGUUCGAUGGGAUCCUCAGGCACGAUAAAUUCGUCAUCGUCGAGGCUUGCCUCAUCUUCGGAGGGAGGCAUGUAAUUAUCGUCCUCUACGCCUUUGUCUGCCGCUCUCUCAUGAGGGCUGGUUUCUCCAUCCUCCUGAGCUGAAUCCAGCUAGAGGGGGUUGUCUUCGGCACUGUCCGGGGUGUUAUUAUCUCCCGUGCCAGAAUCGUCAUUUUUGCUUUGGCGGGAUUUAGAGCGGCGCCGCUGACGCCAGCGCUUAGGCUGCUUCUUGGAGGGGUCAUCCUCCGUUGUUCCAUCGCCAUUCCCUUCUUUUGGGGUGUCCACCAUGUAUAUGUCAUAUGACGAGGUGGCCUUCCAGUGCCCUAGAGGCGCUGGGUCUUGGUCGUCUCUUGCAUCGGCGUCCAUACCGUCAAUGUCUUCGGAGUCGAAGUCGAGCAUGUCGGUUAAAUCAUCGACAGUGGCUACGAAGUGAGUGGUGGGUGGGCUUUGAAUUUCUUCAUCGUCCGCAUCCCAACCUUGCUGACCAUAGUCCGGCCAAGGCUCUCCUGAUAAAGAGAGAGACUUUAGUGAAUUAAGAAUGUCGCCAAAGGGCGAGUGCUGAAAGAUGUCCGCGGCGGCGAACUCCAUGAUUGGCGCCCAAUCGGGUUCAAUCGGCAGGGGCGCGGAAGGUUUGGAGUCCGGAAAGGAGUCCGGCACCUUGGAGUCACAAGCUUCGCGAAGGACAAGGCUGAUGUUCGGCUCGAUCGCCGUAGAGAUUGCAGCCCCUGAGGCGGUGUCCAGCCACCCGUCCUCGAUUGGCGCAGUCGGCUCCGAACUGAGGGUCGGAGCGGACACUGGGGCGGCCUCCUAGGCACUGUUCAGCGGCAGAGCUAGAUCAUGCCCAUCGUGAGAGUGCGGCGCGCUCGGCUGUGGCUCGAACCCAUCGAAGAUCAAGUCUCCGCGGAUGUCAGCCGUGUAGUUCAAACUUCCAAAUCUGACCUGAUGGCCAGGGGCAUAGCUUUCGAUCUGCUCCAGAUGGCCAAGCAAAUUGGCCCGCAGUGCAAAGCCGCCGAAUACGAAGAUCUGUCCGGGGAGAAAAGUCUCACCCGGGACCGCGUCGUUGUUGAUGACCGGAGGAGCCGUCGGGCCUAAAGAUGACGACAAAGAUGAACUCUCAACGAAAGCACCAAUGUCGGUGUCAAAACCGGCGGAUCUCGGGUAGGGGGUCCCGAACUGUGCGUCUAGGCGGAUGGUAACAGGAGACAAGGGACACGAUGUUUUUACCCAGGUUCGGGCCCUCUCGAUGGAGGUAAAACCCUACUCCUGCUUGAUUAAUAUUGAUGAUAUGGGUAGUACAAGAGUAGAUCUACCACGAGAUCAGAGAGGCUAAACCCUAGAAGCUAGCCUAUGGUAUGAUUGUUGUUCGUCCUACGGACUAAAACCCUCCGGUUUAUAUAGACACCAGAGAGGGCUAGGGUUACACAUAGUCAGUUACAAUGGGAGGAUAUCUACAUAUCCGUAUCGCCAAGCUUGCCUUCCACGCCAAGGAAAGUCCCAUCCGGACACGGGACGAAGUCUUCAAUCUUGUAUCUUCAUAGUCCAGGAGUCCGGCCAAAGGUUAUAGUCCGGUCAUCCGGACACCCCCUAAUCCGGGACUCCCUCACCAGCCACUGCUGCUGGCGGCACUAGAAGUACGCCGCCCAAGCCGCGUGGUUGUCGGCAGCAUACUAGGGGAGGGAGAGCUCGGCAUCGUUGAGGGAGGCGCGCACGAUCUCGACCUCAUCGGCGAAGUAGGAUGGUUUGGACACGGCGUCGGGCAACGCGGGAAUGGGCACUCCCCCAUUGCUGAGCCUCCAGCCUGUCAGUCCGGCGCGCAUGUUUGGCGGCGCGGGAAUGUUCGCCUGGAACAAGAGCCAGGACUCCUGUUCGCGGAGCGAACGGCAGCCGAAGCCGUUAGCCGCCGCCUCGUCUCCGGGGAAACGCUCGGCCAUCGGGAGAUGGAGUGGCUGGGGGAGAAGAGCUCGGUGGCGGCGCUCGGGAGAGGGAGGGCUGGGGGAGAAGAGCUCGGCGGCGGCGCUCGGGAGAGGUAGCACUCAUCAGAGGCAAGCGCGGCCAUAUAUAGCCGCGCCGCGUCCGUGUGUACGUGUCCGAGGGAGGGGAGGUGUCGGCACGCCGCCCCAUGACGCGCCGCCCGUGAGGUAUCAAUGGCAAAGCUGACCGGCGGCAGCCUUGCCAUUGAUUCCCCGCGGGAAACCGAGGCAUCGGGAGAAGACGAGGCGGGUGGUGUCGCUGACGCGGCUGGCCCGCGUCGCUUUCGCGCCAAAAAUGAUUCGCCCGGCGCCCCCGAGCGCGCCGGGUUUGGGUUGGGUCCGCUGAUGCCAAUUUCGGCACGAGCCGGCGAAAAAUGGGCCCCUGGGGGCGCGACUGGGCCAAUUUUUUGGUGCCAGCGGCCGAAAAGUCGCCUGGGGGGCCUUGUUGGGGGCGCGGCUGGAGAUGCUCUGAGGUCUCGAGUUUGAAUCUCAAGCCUCUCUCAGUUUUUCGCAUUUUUUCAGCUCGCGAACGCCAAAUGGGCUGGCGCAGGCGAGACACCCCUUGUGUGAAAUGUAAACUCUUUGACGCAAAGAGCGUCACAUAGGAGCACCCGACACUGUACUCCAUCCGGCAAGCGAGGAAACAACUACAAGGUACGAGACGACUCGUGGGCCUGUGGCGCGGCCCACUUGAACCAAGAUGAAGCCUGGGUAGAAUGAUGGCCCAGAGUGGACUCAGUAGCUUAAAUACAAACAUGUAACGUUUGAUUUACUUGGCUAUGAUUUGGACAGCGGCUUCGGCCGAGCUGUAAGCUACCUAUGGCUGUGAGGGAGGUUGGGAGGAAAUACACGCCACAACAAUUCCCCAUUUCGCCAUGAACCCUAGCUCAACCCUCUAGAUCAACCUUCGUACUUACACUUGGUAUUAGAUUCAGCGGUCCUGGCGCUUCCUCAACACCAUCACGGCACACGGUGGCGGGAUUGACGGUGAACGGAGGCGGUGGAGAAGUUAUCUGAGGAAGGGAAGGGCAUGCACGAGCUCCUGCGCGCGGACUUCGCCACGGAUCUCGACCGCCGCUUCAAGGAACAAGGUUCGGAUCUUCUUCAAGCCAUGAAAAAGUUGAUUGCGGCGAACACGAAGACUCUAGAUAGGUUGCUCUCGGCACGGGUGGAUGGCGUCCGUGAUGAGCUGCUGAUGGAGAUGGGUCAGCUCCAUGCUGAGCAACCGCAGGAAGCUCCUCUUUGCUCUGACGGGAUUCCCGCCUCGCGCUUUGUUGGGAAUGGUUGCGGCGGCGCUGCCACCGAUUCCCUUGGCAUCAACAAUGACCACCUGGGGAACGUGCAUAAUACUUAUGUUCCUCCCCUGGUCAGAGGUGCAUGUGAUUCAAGUUUGUCCUUCCGCAAUACCUUGCCCCAUUAUUUGAACUUUGUAGAUGCUGCUGAUUCGUUUGCGUUCGUUGUUCGUUUGGAAUCCAAUUCGCGUAUGUGGCAAACGCGAUGUGAGGACCAAUUCAGGUUGUGGUGUACUCCGACUCACAUAUGGAUUUCCUUGGCAACAACUCAAUUUGAAGGUACUGCAGCUAGAUGGUCGGAAUCAAUGCAACAUCGCCAACCACAGGCGAGUUGGUCUGAAUUUUGUCAGUGUUUGCAGAUUCAUUUUGGUCGAAAUCAGCAUCAAACCUUGUUGCGUCAGUUGUUUCAGAUAGCGCAAACAUCUUCAGUGGCUGAUUACGUUGAGCGUUUUGCUAAUUUGUAUGAUCAAUUGUCUGCCUAUGAAGAAGCACCAAACUCUUUGCACUAUACGACUAGGUUCCUGGAUGGUCUGAAACCAGGGGUCAAUGUUGCUAUUGCUCUUCAGAAACCACGAGAUUUGGAUGCGGCUUAUGAUUUAGCACUGCUACAUGAAGAGUUGGGAGAAGGGUUCACACCUCUUAACAGUGUAAACCAGGUGAAGUCGGGUCCUAUGCCCCUACCAUUGCCACCCAAUAAACAACACAGUUAUGAGGACAAACGAGACCGUGAGAUUCAGAAGACAUUCCUUUAUUGACAGUAAUUUUGCUUCCUAGAUUGACAAAUGUACAAAAGAAUUCACCUGUGCCAGUAACUGUAGCUGGUGGAGGGACACUGCAGUGUGACUCUAUACUGAAAAAUUGUUCCUGUAAUUGUGGGACAGUUCAAUUCACUAGUGAUUUCAGACUUUUGUCCUUGGCCAGUUAUGAUGGGACAAUUGGGUUAGAUUGGCUUGCUCAACCUAGUCCUAUGCAAAUAGAUUGGGUGCGGAAGUGGAUGUCCUUCUCUUAUUAGGGUAAAGUGAUUACAUUGCAAGGAUUGUUUCCUAAAGAUGUUGUUGUUACAGUGUUCUCAGUUUCAUUGAUCGGGCCUGUUGAAGAAAAAGUGAAACAUCCAGAAUUGCAGGUGUUGUUGGAUAAGCAUGCUAUAGUGUUUGAAACUCCAACCACAUUACCACCCAGAAGACUCAAAGAUCAUACUAUCCCACUAAUUCCUGGAACAAGACCAUUAUCUGUUAGGCCCUAUAGGAUUGCUCCACACUUUAAGGAUGAACUAGAGAGAUGGAUCAAAGAAAUGUUGGAUUCAAGGAUGAUCAGACAUAACAAUAGUGCUUUUUCUUCUCUUGUAUUGCUGGUCAAGAAGAAAGAAGAAGGCACUUGGAGGACAGUGAUUGAUUAUAGGCAUCUCAAUGCUAUUACAUUGAAAAGUAAAUAUCUAGUGCCUGUAAGAUGAACUUCUGGAUGAACUAGCAGGAGCUUGUUGGUUUUCUAAACUGGAUUUGAAAGAUGGAUACCAUUAGAUCAGAUUAGCACCAGGAGAAGAGUACAAAAUAGCCUUUAAGACUCAUAAUGGAUAUUAUGAAUUUAAUGUGAUGGGCAUGGGUCUGACAAGAGCACCAGGGACAUUUCAGGGGACAAUGAAUUAUGAUCUCUCUCCUGUUUUGAGGAAAUGUGCAGUGGUAUUCUUUGAUGAUAUAUUGGUAUUCAGUAAAACACUGAGAGAACAUUGGAAACAUUUGGAUGAGGUUUUGUCUAUUCUGAAUAAAGAGUAGAAGAAAGUGAAGAUGUCUAAAUGUGAUUUUGCUCAGCCUAAGAUAGCAUACCUGGGGCAUGUUAUUUCUACAGAAGGUGUUUCUACUGAUCCGGAUAAAAUAGUAGCUGUUCAGCAAUGGCCUGUUCCACAUAAUGUGAAGGAAGUGAGGGGUUUCCUUGGGUUGAGUGGCUAUUACAGAAAGUUCAUUAAGCAUUAUGGGAUUAUUGCAAGGCCAUUAACUAAUCUGCUCAAGAAGUGAUGCCUUUUGUAUGGACAAGCAUAACAAACGAAGCUUUUGUAACACUCGAGCAGGCAUUGGUAUCUGCUCCUGUCCUGGAAUUACCAGAUUUUACUAAACCCUUCAUGAUAGAGACUGAUGCUUGUGAGUAUGGUAUUGGUGCAGUUCUAAUGCAGUAAGGACACCCACUAGCUUUUGUUAGCAAAACCUUGGGCCCCAAGAACAGAGCUCUGUUAGUGUAUGAGAAAGAAUAUCUGGCUAUCUUGUUGGCAGUGGAUAAAUGGAGACCCUACUUGCAAGUACAACAGUUUACUAUCAAAACAUAUCAAAGAAGUUUGGCUCAUCUGCAAGAUCAGAGGUUGCACACAAUUUGGCAAUAGAAAUGUCUUACUAAAUUGUUGGGAUUGAACUAAAUUCAGUACAAGCAAGGUAAAGAGAAUACUGCAGUUGAUGCUUUAUCUAGGAGACCUCGAGAUAAUUCCCAACUUUUCUCAAUAUCUAGUAAUCAACCUACUUGGGUGACUAAAAUCAUAGAUAGUUAUCAGCAAGAUGAAAAAGCUCUAGCUAUUUUGCAGCAAUUAGCUAUGCAGCCACCUCUAAACCACCAUACAGCCUGGUGAAUGGAUUGCUGAAAUAUAAGCAGAGCAUUUGAAUAGGUCCUGUCCCUGCCCUACAUCAGAAAAUCUUUGCUGCCUUCAAUGAUAGUCCCUUGGGUGGGCAUUCAGGGUUUCCAGUUACAUACAAAAGAAUUCAUGCUCUGAUUUCUUGGUCUGGUAUGAAGAAAUUCAUCUUAGCUCAGGUGCAGUCCUGUUUGAUUUGUUAGAAAGCUAAACCUGAAAGCAGUCCUUAUCCUAGAUUGUUAUCACCACUGCCAGUGCCACACAAGGCUUGGGACAGUGUUUCUAUGGAUUUCAUCAGUGGUCUUCCUCAAUCUUCUCAAUACAACUGUACUUUGGUGGUGAUUGACAAGUUCUCCAAGUAUGGUCAUUUUAUUCCUUUGAAGCAUCCUUUUAAUGCCCAGAAAGUGGCUGAGGUGUUCUUGGAUAAUGUGUAUAAGUUGGAUGGAAUGCCUAAGAUCACUAUUUCUCACAGAGAUCCAAUUUUCACUAGCAUCUUUUGGAAGUUGUUGACUGCCAGAACUGGGACUCAACUGAACAUGAGCACAACAAAUCAUCCUGAGACGAUGGGCAGAGUAAAUCAGCAGGUGGAAUGCUAUCUAAAAUGUUUUAACAGUGCUCAACCUCAUAAGUGGAGUAAGUGGUUGUCCUUGUGUGAAUUUUGGUAUAAUUCUAACUGGCGUUCUGCUCUGGGAAGUCUCCUUUUGACAUACUGUAUGGGUAUACUCCAAGAUAUUUUGGUAUUAGUGAGUCUGAUACAAUUGCACCAGUAGAAAUGCAAGAAUGGUUGCAAUCUCAUCAAGCAAUUACAGAGACAGCAAGGCAGCACUUGUUGAGAGCACAACAACAUAUGAAAAAUCAAGAUGAUAAGAAAAGGUCUGACAGAAACUUCGAAUAGGAGAUCAGGUGUUCCUAAAGUUGCAACCAUAUGCUCAGUUGUCACUUUACCCUAGAGCAAAUCAUAAACUUGCUUUCAAGUUUUAUGGUCCAUUUCAAGUUUUGGAAAAGAUAGGGGAUAGAGCAUACAAGUUGGAUCUUCUUGUAAUUAGCCGCUUACAACCUGUGUUUCAUGUUUCAAAAUUGAAACGACUUCUGCCAUGAGAAGCUGUUAUCCAUCAGUCACUACCUACAGCUCAGGCCGCACUUCAGUUUCAUGUCCAAGUUUUGCAGCAAAAGGUGUGUCAGGUCGGCAACUAUACUGUAGUCCGAGGACUGGUCCAGUGGUCUGAUUCUUCGCAUGUUAAUGCAACCUGCAAAGAUUUGGAGUUCCUCAAACAAUAGUUUCCCCGUGCUCCGGCUUGGGGUCAAGCCGACUCUCAAGGGGGGAGGAUUGUCAGCAAUUCUGACCAACAGGAGAUGAAUACUGAAGAUCAAGGACAUGCGGCAACAGGGUGAAGGCACUGUACUCCAUCCGGCAAGCAAGGAAAUAGCUACAAGGUCCGAGACAGCUUGUGGGCUUGCGGCGUGGCCCACUCGAACCAAGACGAAGCCCAGGUGGAACGAUGGCCCAGAGUGGACUCAGUAGCUUAAAUACAAACAUGUAACAUUUGAUUGUACUUGGCUAGAUUUGGACGGCGGCUUCGGCCGAGCUGUAAGCUACCUAUGGCUGUGAGGGAGGUUGGGAGGAAAAACACGCCACAGCAAUUCCCCAUUCCACCAUGAACCCUAGCUCAACUCUCUAGAUCGACCUUGGUACUUACACUGGUCGGUGGUGGUUGGUGAAGCUCAAGCUGCCUGCGGUGGUAUGGUGUGGUGGUACCUCUGUCCAAGGCAGAACCGUGCCAGCGAUCUGAUGGUUUGGCUCCAGAUUGGAUCACAUCAGUGACAGUGACGAGCAGGAGCGGGAUCUUUCCUGGUGGCUCUCGCGGUUUGGCGAUGUGGUGUGCUGUAUCUCCUCCCAGGCUCCAGCGGUUGUGCACUCUAGCAGUGGCUGGUGUGCCAGGCCUCCCGUGGUGGCAAUGCUGCUGUCUGCUGUGGGUGGUCGUCGGAUCUGGGAGGCCAGAUCUGGGGCUUUGAAGGUGGUCUAGCUAGUGCACAAGAUGUUGGCUAGAUUCUCGUGGGACAAGAUGUGGGUGAAAACUUUGUCUUUGGCUAGUGGCCGGAGCUGGUGAUGGUGACACCCUAGGCGUCGUUUCCUUCUUGAAGGUAUCAUCGAGGUGAAGCUCCCACCUCCUUUCGCUAUCUCUGGGGUGAACCUUGAUCAGUCAAUUAGAUGAUGCGGUGCUCAAGUGCCAUUCCCCCGUUGGGGGCGUCAUUCUUGGAGGUGUUCAUCGGCUCGAGGGACCAGUGGACGGUGACAGUGGUGGAGCGGCAUUUUACAUGACACAUCAACGAUGUGGAGUCUCAGCAGCGUGGUGCAGCAGGGUCUCAACGAUGGACGCGUGUAGGAAGGUGGCAUUGUGGUGGUGUCGACGACAGACCUAGCAAGGCUAAUGGUUUGAUUCCAGUUCUGAAGAUGGAUCGACGGAAGUGGUGGCAGUGGUCUUUGGAGCGUGUGCAUGUGGUGCCUGCUGCGAGUCUGUUGGACCAGCUUGUGCCACCGACCCAUCGUAGGAGGGAUGGUUGAGGCAUCUGGGUUUUGAUGUUUGGCGAUGGUGUGAGGUUUGAGCAGACGGCUCGGUUAUGUGCACAUCCUUCAUCAUGUUGGUAGGAGUAGCAACAAUAGUUGCCAGAAAGGUGGCUUCAAACUCAUUGAUGUAUUACUUUGUAAGGCUUUAUUGAAUAAUUAGUAAAGAGAUUCUAAUUUUUUUUAAUAAAGAUAUGUAUGCAUCGGCUUGAUGCAAAGGCUAGGGAUAGUCCUCCUUUUUUAAAAAAAAAAGUGCCCUCCGCUUGGAUGACACGACGGCCACCCCCUCCCUAGCUACCUCCAGACCCGAUCUCUCCCCUCGCCGUCGAAAGACGUACAGGCCAAAACAACCGACAACAAGUACCUUGUUGCAUGCUCAGGGUAGGAGAUGGUGAUGACAGUUGUUGGGUUUCUAGGGCCUAUUUGGAUCGUUGCUGGUGGUUGCCAUGCCAAAAUUUUGGCGUGGACUCGUGGUAUAGGGUACUGUUUGGAUUGAAGUCCCAAUAUCGGAGCCACACCAAAAAAUUAGUCGUUGUGUUCAAUUAUGUGCCCACGCAUGGGAGAAAUAGGGGCGGGCAAAUCGUUCACCAAAAUAUUGGCGCACCUCAUUUUUUGGAAGAAACUUGCCAUCUACCAAAACAUCAUAUAUUUAGCCCUACAUAAACAUCUUAUAAUUAGGAACAAAGUGGGUAUUCAUUAUUUUUAAUGGCAGUACAAAGAACAUCAGUAGUAAAAAAAUUACAAUCAGGUCGGUAGACCAAUGAUGUCUACUACACAACCUUCUUCUUGUAGACGUUGUUGGGCCUCCAAGUGCAGAGGUUUGUAGGACAGUAGCAAAUUUCCCUCAAGCGGAUGACCUAAGGUUUAUCAAUCUGUGGGAGGUGUAGGAUGAAGAUGGUCUCUCUCAACCAACCCUGCAACCAAAUAACAAAGAGUCUCUUGUGUCCCCAACACACCCAAUACAAUGGUAAAUUGUAUAGGUGCACUAGUUCAGCGAAGAGAUGGUGAUACAAGUGCAAUAUGGAUGGUAGAUAUGAGUACUUGUAAUCUGAAAAUAUAAAAACAGCAAGGUAACAAGUGGUAAAAGUGAGUGUAAACGGUAUUGCAAUGCUAGGAAACAAGGCCUAGGGUUCAUACUUUCACUAGUGCAAGAUCUCUCAACAAUAAUAACAUAACUGGAUCAUAUAACUAUCCCUCAACAUGCAACAAAGAGUCACUCCAAAGUCACUAAUAGCGGAGAACAAACAAACAGAUUAUUGUAGGGUAUGAAACCACCAAAAAGUUAUCCUUUCUGAUCGAUCUAUUCAAGAGUCCGUAGUAAAAUAACAUGAAGCUAUUCUUUCCGUUCGAUCUAUCAUAGAGUUCGUACUAGAAUAACACCUUAAUACACAAAUCAACCAAAACCCUAAUGUCACCUAGAUACUCCAAUGUCACCUCAAGUAUCCGUGGGUAUGAUUAUUGGAUAUGCAUCACACAAUCUCAGAUUCAUCUAUUCAACCAACACAAAGUACUUAAAAGAGUGCCCCAAAGUUUCUACCGGAGUGUCAAGACGAAAACGCAUGCCAACCCCUAUGCAUAAGUUCAUUAAACCCGCAAGUUGAUCACCAAUACAUACAUCAAGUAGAUCAUGUGAAUAUCCCAUUGUCACCACAGAUAAGCACGACAAGACAUACAUCAAGUGUUCUCAAAUCCUUAAAGACUCAAUCCGACAAGACAACUUCAAGGGGAAAACUCAAUUCAUCACAAGAGAGUAGAGGGGGAGAAACAUCAUAAGAUCCAACUAUAAUAGCAAAGCUCGAGAUACAUCAAGAUCGUAACACCACAAGAACACGAGAGAGAGAGAGAGAGAGAGAGAGAUCAAACACAUAGCUACUGCUACAUACCCUCAGUCCCGAGGGUGAACUACUCCCUCCUCAUCAUGACGAGCACCGGGAUGAUGAAGAUGGCCACCGAUGAGGGAUCCCCCCUCCGGUAGGGUGCCGGAACAGGGCCCCAAGAGGUUUUUGGUGUCUAUAGAGGUUUGCGGCGGCGGAACUCCCUAUCUAUUUGUGCUCUCCGAUGUUUUUAUGGUAUAUGUACAUAUAUAAGCGAAAGAAGUCGGUCAGGGGAGCCACGAGGGUGGGGGCGCGCCCAGGGGGGUAGGGCGCGCCUCCCUGCCUCGUGGCUUCCUUGAAGCUUCCCUGACUUCUACUCCAAGUCUCCCUGAUUGCUUCCGCUCCAAAAAUAACUCUCCCGAAGGUUUCAUUCCGUUUGGACUCCGUUUGAUAUUCCUUUUCUGCGAAACACCGAAAUAGGCAAAAAAACAGCAAUUUGGGCUGGGCCUUCGAUUAAUAGGUUAGUCCCAAAAAUAAUAUAAAAGUGUAUAGUAAAGCCCAUAUAGAUCCAAAAUAGGUAAUAUAAUAGCAUGGAACAAUCAAAAAUUAUAGAUACAUUGGAGACAUAUCAAGCAUCCCCAAGCUUAAUUCCUGCUCGUCCUCGAGUAGGUAAAUGAAAAAAACCAGAAUUUUUGAUGUGGAAUGCUACCUAGCAUAUUUCGCAAUGUAAUUCUCUUUAUUGUGUCAUGAAUGUUCAGAUCCAAAUGAUUCAAAAUAAAAGUUCAUAUUGACAUAAGAAAUAGUAAUACUUCAAGCAUACUAACAAAGCAAUCAUGUCUUCUCAAAAUAACAUGGCUAAAGAAAGUUCAUCCCUACAAAAUCAUAUAGUAAGGCUAUGCUUCAUUUUCAUCACACAAAAUACACCCAUCAUGCACAACCCCGGUUUCAGCCAAGCAAUUGGUUCAUACUUUUUAACGCGCUUCAGCCUUUUCAACUCUCACGCAAUACAUGAGCGUGACCAUGGAUAUAGCACUAUGUGUGGAAUAGAAUAUGAUGAUGGAGAUUGUGUGGACAAGACAAAAAAGGAGAAAUUCUCACAUUGACGAGGCUAAUCAACGGGCUAUGGAGAUGCCCAUCAAUUGAUGUCAACAUGAGGAGUAGGGAUUGCCAUGCAUGCAACGGAUGCACUAGAGCUAUAAAUGUAUGAAAGAUCAACAAAAGAAACUAAGUGGGUGUGCAUCCAACUUGCUUGCUCAUGAAGACCUAGGGCAUUUUGAGGAAGCCCAUCGUUGGAAUAUACAAGCCAAGUUCUAUAAUGAAAAAUUCCCACUAGUACAUGAAAGUUACAACAUAAGAGACUCUCUAUAUGAAGAACAUGGUGCUACUUUGAAGCACACGUGUGGAAAAAGAUAGUAACAUUGUCCCCCCUUUUUUGGGGGCCUUUCUUUUUUUAUUUGGCCUUUCUUUUUUGGGCCUUUCUUUUUUUGUGGCCUUUCUCUUUUUUUCCUUUUUAUAAGGGACAAUGCUCUAAUAAUGAUGAUCAUCACACUUCUAUUUAUUUACAACUCAAGAACUACAACUCGAUACUAGAACAAGAUAUGACUCUAUAUGAAUGCCUCCGGCGGUGUACCGGGGUGGGCAAUGAAUCAAGAGUGACAUGUAUGAAAAAUUAUGCAUGGUGGAUUUGCCACAAAUACGAUGUCAACUACAUCAUGCAAGGCAAUAUGACAAUGAUGAUGCGUGUCAUCAUAAACGGAACGGUGGAAAGUUGCAUGGCAAUAUAUCUCGGAAUGGCUAUGGAAAUGCCAUAAUAGGUAGGUAUGGUGGCUGUUUUGAGGAAGAUAUAAGGAGGUUUAUGUGUGAUAGAGCGCAUCAUAUCACGGGGUUUGGAUGCACCGGCGAAGUUUGCACCAACUCUCAAGGUGAGAAAGGGCAAUGCACGGUACUAAAGAGGCUAUCAAUGAUGGAAAGGUAAGAGUGCGUAUAAUCCAUAGACUCACAUUAGUCAUAAAGAACUCAUAUACUUAUUGCAAAGUUUUAUUAGCCCUCGAAGCAAAGUACUACUACGCAUGCUCCUAGGGGGAAGGUUGGUAGGAUUUAACCAUCGCGCGCCCCCGACCUCCACACAUAAGGAAGGCAAUCAAAAGAGCAUCACAUGCAAUAAAUUUGUUACACAACUUUUACCAUACGUGCAUGCUACGGGACUUGCCAACUUCAACACAAGUAUUUAUUUAAUUCACAAUUACCCAACUAGCAUGACUCUAAUAUCACUACCUCUAUAUCUCAAAACAAUUAUCAAGCAUCAAAUUGAUCAUAGCAUCCAAUUCACUUUCUAUGAUAGUUUUUAUUAUACCCAACUUGGAUGCCCAUCAUUCUAGGACCAAUUUUAUAACCAUAGCAAAUACCAUGCUGUUCUAAAAGACUCUCAAAAUAAUAUAAGUGAAGCAUGAGAGAUCAAAAAGUUCUACAAAAUAAAACCACCGUCGUGCUCUAAAAGAUAUAAGUGAAGCACAUAGAGCAAAACUGUCUAGCUCAAAAGAUAUAAGUGAAGCACAUAGAGUAUUCUAACAAAUUCCAAAUCAUGUGUGUCUCUCCCAAAAGGUGUGUACAGAAAGGAUGAUUGUGGUAAAAUAAAAAGCAAAUACUCAUACCAUACAAGACACUCCAAGCAAAACACAUAUCAUGUGGUGAAUAAAAAUAUAGCUCCAAGUAAAGUUACCGAUGGACGAAGACGAAAGAGGGGACGCCAUCCGGGGCAUCCCCAAGAUUAGGCUCUUGGUUGUCCUUGAAUAUUACCUUGGGGUGCCUUGGGAAUACCAAAGCUUAAGCUAUUGCCACUCCUUAUUCCAUAGUCCAUCAAAUCUUUACCCAAAACUUGAAAACUUCACAACACAAAACUCAACAGAAAACUCGUAAGCUCCGUUAGUAUAAGAAAAUAAAUCACUACUUAGGUACUGUUGUGAACUCAUUCUAAAUUCAUAUUGGUGUAAUAUCUACUGUAUUCCAACUUCUCUAUGGUUCAUACCCUUCGAUACUACUCGUAGAUUCAUCAAAAUAAGCAAACAACACAUAGAAAACAUAAUCUGUCAAAAAUAGAACAGUCUGUAGUGAUCUGUAUCAUUUGAAUACUUAUGUAACUCCACUAAUUCUACCAAAUUGGGAAAACCUGAGAAAUUUGUGUACCAAUCCAGAGAAAAAAGAAUCAGAUCAGAAUCAAGUUUCUGUGAAUUAUCAAAACUAAUUUACUUGGUGCAAAAGUUUCUGAUUUUCAGCAGGAUCAACACAACUAUCACCGUAAGCUAUCCUAAAGGUCUUACUUGGCACUUUGUUGAAACAAAAGCUAUAAAACAUGUCUAAUACAGUAGCAUAAUCAUGUGAACAAAAAAAUAAGGGUAAAUAUUGGGUUGUCUCCCAACAAGCGCUUCUCUUUAAUGCCUUUUAGCUAGACACGAUGAUUUCAAUGAUGCUCGCAUAAAAGAUAAGAAUUGAAACAUAAAGAGAGCAUCAUGAAGAAUAGUACUAACACAUUUAAGUCUAACCCACUUCCUAUGCAUAGGGAUUUUGUGAUCAAACAACUUAUGGGAACAAUAAUCAACUAGCAUAGGAAGGCAAAACAAGCAUAACUUCAAAAUUGUCAACACAUAGAGAGGAAACAUGAUAUUAUUGCAAUUUGUAGAAGCAUAUGAUCCUCUCUCCUAAUAAUUUUCAGUAGCAUCAUGAAUGAAUUCAACAAUAUAACCACCACAUAAAGCAUUCUUUUGAUGAUCUACUUGCAUAGAAAUUUUACUACUCUCCACAUAAGCAAAAUUCUUCUUAUUCGGAAUAGCGGGAGUAUCAUAAGAGACUCGAAUACUAUAAAUUGUUUCCAUAUUAAAAGAGUAAUGUUCAGAAAAAGGGUAAUCAUAAUCAUGACAAGUUUUAUAAACAUAAUCAUCACUACUUUUUAUAGCAUAAGUUUCAUCACAAUAAUCAUCAUAAGUAGCAACUUUGUUCUCAUCAUAAUCAAUUGAAACCUCUUCAAAAAUAGUGGAUUCAUCACUAAAUAAAGUCAUGACCUCUCCAAAUCCACUUUCAUAAGAUUCAACACCCUCCAAAACAGUGGUAUCAUUACUUCCUAAAGUUGACACUCUUCCAAACCCACUUUCAUCAAUAUAAUCAUCAUAAAUAGGAGGAAUGCUAUCAUCAUAAUAAGUUUGCUCAUCGAAACUAGGGAGGCUAAAAAUAUCAUCUUCAUUAAAUGUAGCAUCCCCAAGCUUGGUACAAACAUUAAUUGCAUCAAAUAUAUUCUAAAAAAUUUCAUUCUCAUCAAACAUAGCAUCCCAAAGCUUGGGCCUUUUCAUAUCAUAAGCAUAAUCACUCUCAUCAUUAACAGUAUGGAUAGCACCAAUAGUAUAGCAUUUAUCAUCAUCACAAUGAGUAGUAGGAGAAACAUCAUUUGGGAGGGAUACCUUUCUACCUUUGCUCCUCCGUCUUUUCUUUUUCUUCUUCACAUCGUGUGUGGGUUUAACCCUCUUUUUUAGCUCCUUAUUAAUAAGAUUGGUUGAAUAGAAAGCUCCUCCUCGUUACCUGAUUCAUCAUAAGAAAUAAUAGGAGGAUAUUGGAAAGUCUCUUCCAUUUUAUUAGUAUUCUCAUCAUCUUCUAUUUGCUUUCUUUUCUUUAUGUAAUUGGCAAUAUAAGGAUUUUCAAUGCAAUUCACCGCACAAUACAUAAAAAUUUCUUGUAGAUCAAUAUCAAGGAAUUGCUUAAGGUUAUAUUCUAGAAUAUGCUUAGUUAAAUGUUUCAUUUCUUCAUAACCCAAAAGAAAACUAAGUUCAUUAUGAUGUGCAAGGGAAAUCAAAUCAUCACAAUUUUAGGACACAAUUCGAUCAUGAAACAAUUUUCAUCAGAGAUGUAAAUGACCAUGUUCAUUGCAAAGUUCACAAGUACGGCAAAGAAAUUUUAAAUUUUCAGCACAAACAUCUAGCCUUUCUUGCAACCAUUUAGUUUCUAAAUACUUAUACCUCUUACAAAAUCUAUCUUCCCUAUUUGGUGUGUACUUGCAAACUCUAUGCACUCCACAGAAGUUGACAUGCUUAUAAGAGACAUUUUCAUCAUAACUAGUGUAAUCAUCAUUAGUACUAUGGAUAUUCAAAGAGUUCAUACUAACAACAUUGCAAUCAUGCUCAUCAUUCAAAGAUUUAGUGCCAAACAUUUUAUAGACUUCUUCUUCUAGCACUUGAGCACAAUUUUCCUUUCUAUCAUUCUCACGAAAGAUAUUAAAAAGAUGAAGCGUAUGAGGCAAACUCAAUUCCAUUUUUGGUAGUUUUCUUUUAUAAACUAAACUAGUGAUAAAACAAGAAACAAAAAGAUUCGAUUGCAAGAUCUAAAUAGAUACCUUCAAGCACUCACCUCCCCGGCAAUGGCGCCAGAAAAGAGCUUGAUGUCUACUACACAACCUUCUUCUUGGAGACAUUGUUGGGCCUCCAAUGUGCAGAGGUUUGUAGGACAAUAGCAAAUUUCCCUCAAGUGGAUGACCUAAGGUUUAUCAAUCCGUGGGAGGCGUAGGAUGAAGAUGGUCUCUCUCAAGCAACCCUGCAACCAAAUAACAAAGAGUCUCUUGUGUCCCCAACACACCCAAUACAAUGGUAAAUUGUAUAGGUGCACUAGUUCGGUGAAGAGAUGGUGAUACAAGUGCAAUAUGGAUGGUAGAUAUGAGUAUUUGUAAUCUGAAAAAUAUAAAAACAGCAAGGCAAAAAGUGGUAAAAGUGUAAACCGUAUGGCAAUGCUAGGAAACAAGGCCUAGGGUUCAUACUUUCACUAGUGUAAGUUCUCUCAACAAUACUAACAUAAUUGGAUCAUAUAACUAUCCCUCAACAUGCAACAAAGAGUCACUCCAAAGUCACUAAUAGCAGAGAACAAAGGAAGAGAUUAUUGUAGGGUACGAAACCACCUCAAAGUUAUCCUUUCUGAUCGAUCUAUUCAAGAGUCCUUAGUAAAAUAACAUGAAGCUAUUCUUUUCGUUCGAUCUAUCAUAGAGUUCGUACUAGAAUAACACCCUAAGACACAAAUCAACCAAAACCCUAAUGUCACCUAGAUACUCCAAUGUCACCUCAAGUAUCUGUGGUUAUGAUUAUACGAUAUGCAUCACACAAUCUCAGAUUCAUCUAUUCAACCAACACAAAGUACUUUAAAGAGUGCCCCAAAGUUUCUACCGGAUAGUCAAGACGAAAACGCGUGCCAACCCCUAUGCAUAAGUUCAUUAAACCCGCAAGUUGAUCACAAAUACAUACAUCAAGUAGAUCAUGUGAAUAUCCCAUUGUCACCACAGAUAAGCACGACAAGACAUACAUCAAUUGUUCUCAACUCCUUAAAGACCUAAUCCGACAAGACAACUUCAAGGGGAAAACUCAAUUCAUCACAAGAGAGUAGAGGGGGAGAAACAUCAUAAGAUCCAACUAUAAUAGCAAAGCUCGUGAUACAUCAAGAUCGUAACACCUUAAGAACACGAGAGAGAGAGAGAGAGAUCAAACACAUAGCUACUGGUACAUACCCUCAGCCCAGAGGGUGAACUACUCCCUCCUUGUCAUGGAGAGCGUCGGGAUGAUGAAGAUGGCCACCGGUGAGGGUUCCCCCCUCCGGCAGGGUGCCGGAACAGGGUCCCAAGAGGGUUUUGGUGGCUACAGAGGCUUGCAGCGGCGGAACUCCCGAUCUAUUUGUGCUCUCUUAUAUUUUUUUGGAUAUAUGGACAUAUAUAAGCGAAAGAAGCCGGUUAGGGGAGCCAUGAGGGGCCCACGAGGGUGGGGGGCGCGCCCAGGGGGGUAGGGCGCGCCUCCCUGCCUCUUGGCUUCCUCGAAGCUUCCCCGACGUCUACUCCAAAUCUCCUGGAUUGCUUCCAUUACAAAAAUAACUCUCCCAAAGGUUUCAUUCUGUUUGGACUCCGUUUGAUAUUCCUUUUCUGCGAAACACUGAAAUAGGCAAAAAACAGCAAUUUGGGCUGGGCCUCCGGUUAAUAGGUUUGUCCCGAAAAUAAUAUAAAAGUGUAUAGCAAAGCCCAUAAACAUCCAAAACAGGUAAUAUAAUAGCAUGGAACAAUAAAAAAUUAUAGAUACGUUGGAGACGUAUCAAUCAACUAGUGAAGCAUUGAAGAAAGCCGAACGUGCGCUGCCAUCAUCACUCCUCCCUCGUUGGAGCCGGGCAAAACUUUUUAUAGUAGAGAGUAGUAAAGUCAUCGUGCUAAGGCUACACAGAACAAGCAAACCAGAACAUCAACUGUCGUUGAUGAAUAGAAGUGUAGAUUUGAAGGAUACAACUUGUAGACACAAUAUGAUACAACAAAUACUGGAUCAAAUGGGUCCACCGAAGACCAGCACCGAUCUCCACCAUAGACACCACAAGCUCUCCGACGAUGCUGAUGCAUCAUUGGGACAGGUGUUAGGGUAUAUUUCUUAGAAAACAAUUGUUUUAAACCGACUGAUAACAACCAAACGCAAACCGCAUCUGCUGCGUGACACGUGCCCAUGCGGGCCCUCUGACACGUCUCCAUCGUAUCUACUUUUCCAAACACUUUUGCCCUUGUUUUGGACUCUAACCUGCAUGAUUUGAAUGGAACUAACCCAGACUGAUGCUCUUUUCAGCAGAACUGUCAUGGUGUUAUUUUUGUGCAGAAAUAAAAGUUCUCGAAAUGACCUGGAAAUCCACGGAGCAACUUUUCAGAAUUGAUAAAAAAUACUGGUGAAAGAAUCAGCACCAGGGGGGCCACACCCUAUCCAUGAGGGUGCCCCCCCUAGGGCGCGCCCCCUGCUUCGUGGGCCCCCUAGACCUCCAUCGACCUCAACUCUAACUCCAUAUAUUCACGUUUGCAGAGAAAAAAAAUCAGAGAGAAAGUUUCAUCGCAUUUUACGAUACGGAGCCGCCGCCAAGCCCUAAACUCUCUUGGGAGGGCUGAUCUGGAGUCCGUUCGGGGCUCCAGAGAGGGGGAUUCAUCGUUGUCGUCAUCAUCAACCAUCCUCCAUCAUCCAUUUCAUGAUGCUCACCACCGUGCGUGAGUAAUUCCAUCGUAGGCUUGUGAUAUGUCUCCAACGUAUCUACUUUUCCAAACACUUUUGCCCUUGUUUUGGACUCUAACUUGCAUGAUUUGAAUGAAACUAACCCGGACUGACGCUGUUUUCAGCAGAAUUACCAUGAUGUUGUUUCAUGUGUAGAAAACACAAGUUCUCAGAAUGACCUGAAAAUCCUCGGAGACAAGUUUCAGAAAAUAUAAAAAAUACUGGCGAAGAAUCAAGACCAGGGGGCCCACACCCUGUCCACGAGGGUGGGAGGCGCGCCCACCCCCUCUGGGCACACCCCCCCUGUCUCGUGGCCCCCCUGCAGCUCCGCAGACCUCAACUCCAACUCCAUAUAUUCCGUCUCACGGAUAAAAAAAUUGGAGAGAAAGUUUCAUCACGUUUUACGAUACGGAGCCGCCGCCAAGCCCUAAUCUCUCUCGGGAGGGCUGAUCUGGAGUCCGUUCGGGGCUCCAGAGAGGGGGAUUCGUCGCCAUCAUCAUCAUUAACCAUCCUCCAUCACCAAUUUCAUGAUGCUCACCGCCGUGCGUGAGUAAUUCCAUCGUAGGCUUGCUUAACGGUGAUGGGUUGGAUGAGAUUUACCAUGUAAUCAAGUUAGUUUUGUUAGGGUUUGAUCCCUAGUAUCCACUAUGUUCUGAGAUUGAUGUUGCUAUGACUUUGCUAUGCUUAAUGCUUGUCACUAGGGCCUGAGUGCCAUGAUUUCAGAUCUGAACUUAUUAUGUUUUCAUGAAUAUAUGUGUGUUCUUAAUCCUAUCUUGCAAGUCUAUAGUCACCUAUUAUGUGUUAUGAUCCGACAACCUUAAGUGACAAUAAUCGGGAUACUUGCGGUGAUGACCGUAGUUUGAGGAGUUCAUGUAUUCACCAUGUGUUAAUGCUUUGGUCCGGUUCUCUAUUAAAAGAAGGCCUUAAUAUCCCUUAGUUUCCGCUAGGACCCCGCUGCCACGGGAGGGUAGGACAAAAGAUGUCAUGCAAGUUCUUUUCCAUAAGCACGUAUGACUAUAUUCAGAAUACAUGCCUACAUUAAAUUGAUGAAUUGGUGCUAGUUCUGUGUCACCCUAUGUUAUAUCUAUUACAUGAGGAAUCGCAUCCGACAUAAUUAUCCAUCACUGAUCCAUUGCCUACGAGCUUUUCACAUCUUCUGCUUCUCUUAUUUACUUUUCCGUUGCUACUGUUACAAUCACUACAAAAUCCAAAAAUAUUACUUUUGCUAUCUUUUUAUCUUUACCACUGUCUACUACUUUGCUACUAAAUACCUUGCUGCAGAUACUAAGUUAUCCAGGUAUGGUUGAAUUGACAACUCAACUGCUAAUACUUAAGAAUAUUCUUUGACUCCCCUUGUGUCGAAUCAAUAAAUUUGGGUUGAAUACUCUACCCUCGAAAGCUGUUGCGAUCCCCUACACUUAUGGGUCAUCAAUACUAAUUUCUGGCGCCGUUGCCAGGGAACAUAGCUCUAUUCUCUGAGUCACUUGGGAUUUGAAUCUGUUGAUCACUAUGAAGAACUUGAAAGACGCAAAAACUAAAAUUUAUCCCUCAACUACGAGGGGAGGUAAGGAACUGUCAUCUAGCUCUGCACUAGAUUCUCCUUCUGUUAUGAAUAAGUUUGCGACACCUAAACCUGCUACUGCUAUGAAUUCUGAUAUGUCGCAUGUUAUUGAUGAUGCCACUUCUGCUAUGCAUGAUACUUAUGAUGAAACUACUUCUAUGCUUGAUACUACUGUGCCAUUAGGUGAAUUUCUUAAUGAACAACUUACUAAGGCUAGAGAGAAUGAAAUUACUGAGAAUGAAUUUAUUGAUGAUAGUGAUGAUGAAACUUCUCCGAACGAUUAUGAAUUGCAUGUUGUUCCUGAGGGUUAUGUUAUGGAUGAAGAAACUGCUAGAGAUUUUCUUGCUUGCACUGACAGAUCAAAUCUUAAGAAAUUGUUAGCUAAGCUGAAACAAAAGACUUUAAAUGUUGAAACGAAACAUGAUCCUGCUUUUGCCACUUCACCUAUCUUUGUUACUGAUAAUGAAUAUGAAUUCUCUGUUGAUCCUGAGAUUAUUACUUUAGUUGAAUCCGAUCCUUUCUAUGGCACUGAAUCUGAAACUGUUGUGGCACAUCUUACCAAGUUAAAUGAUAUAGCCACUCUCUUUACUAAUGAUGAGACGUCUCGCUAUUAUUACAUACUUAAGAUAUUUCCGUUCUCAUUAAAGGGUGAUGCUAAAACUUGGUUUAAUUCUCUUGAUACUAGUUGUGUGCGUAGUCCCCAGGAUAUGAUUUAUUAUUUCUCUGCUAAAUAUUUCCUUGCUCAUAAGAAACAAGCUGCCUUACGGGAAAUAUAUAAUUUUGUGCAAAUCUAAGAAGAGAGUCUCCCACAAGCUUGGGGAGGCUUCUCGGAUUACUUAAUGCUUUGCCUGAUCAUCCACUUAAGAAAAAUGAAAUACUUGAUAUCUUCUAUAAUGGACUAACUGAUGCUUGCAAGGACCACUUGGAUAGUUGUGCUAGUUGGGUUUUCAGGGAAAGAACAGUCGACGAAGCUGAAUUAUUAUUGAACAAUAUGUUGACUAAUGAGAAUAAUUGGACUCUUCCUGAGCCAAUUUCUGAGCCAAUUCCUGAGGCAAUUCCUGAACUAAUUGAGCCGACUCCUGAGCCUAUUCCUAAACCUACUCCGAAGAAGAGAGGUGUUCUAUUUCUUAGUCCUGAAGAUAUGCAAGAGGCAAAGAAAUCAAUGAAAGAGAAAGGUAUUAAAGCUGAAGAUGUUAAGAAUUUACCUCCUAUUGAAGAAAUACAUGGUCUUAAUAUACCGCUUGUUGAAGAAUCACAUCAUCUUGAUAACUCAACACAGGUAGUAAAGGUAAAUUCUCGCUAUAGAUAUGAUAAGGAUGAAAUCCCAUCUACUAAUUUCAAAGUCCAUGCUUAGAUGAAUUUGAUGAUUUCAUGAAUAGACAAGCAAAUUUCAAUGAUUAUGUUGGUAGACAAUUGAAGAAUAAUGCUUAUAUGAUAGGACGCUUCAAUGAUUAUAUAGCUAGAGUUAAAGGUGAACUUAAACUCACUAGUAAACAUGCUUCUAUGGUUGCUACUCAAGCUGAACAAGUACUUAAAGCUCAGAAUGAAUUGCUAGUUGAACUAAAUAAUAAACAUGACUUUGCUGUUAGAAUGGCUACUAGAACUGGUAAAAUGACUCAGGAACCUUUGUAUCCUGAAGGCCACCCUAAGAGAAUUGAACAAGAUUCUCAGAAUAAUAAUCUAGAUGCUCCUAGUUCUUCUAAGAAGAAGAAAAAGAAAAAUGAUAGGACUUUGCAUGCUUCUAGUGAACCUAAUGUAGAAACACCUGAGAAUUCUAAUAAUACUUCUAUCUCUGAUGCUGAAACACAAUCCGGAGAUGAACGUGAACCUGAUGAUAAUGCUAAUAAUGAUGUUCAUGUAGAUGCUCAACCUAGUAAUAAAAAUGAUAAAGAAACUGAACCUGAUGUUGGUCUUGCUAACCCACAAUCAAGAAACCAACAUUAUGAUAAGAGAGAUUUUGUUGCUAGGAAGCAUGGUAGAGAAAGAGAACCAUGGGUUUAGAAACCCAUGCCCUUUCCACCUAAACCAUCCAAGACAAAGGAUGAUGAGGACUUUGAGUGUUUUGCUGAAAUGAUUAGACCUAUUUUCUUAUGCAUGCGCUUAACUGAUAUGCUUAAAACAAACCCUUAUUCUAAAUAUAUGAAAGAUAUCAUCACUAAUAAGAGGAAAAUACAUGAAGCUGAUAUUUCCACCAUGCUUGCCAACUAUACCUUUAAGGGUGGAAUACCUAAGAAACUUGGUGAUCUCGGAGUACCCACUAUACCUUGCUCUAUUAAGAAAAAUUAUGUUAAAACUGCUUUAUGUGAUUUAGGAGCCGGUGUUAGUGUUAUGCCUCUUUCCUUGUACCAUAGACUUGAAUUACGUAAGUUGACACCCACCGAGAUAUCCUUGCAAAUGGCUGAUAAAUCAACCGCUAUACCUGUCGGCAUUUGUGAGGACGUGCCUGUUGUUGUUGCGAACGUUACUAUCUUAAUAGACUUUGUCAUUCUUGAUAUUCCUGAGGACGACAGUAUGUCGAUUAUCCUCGGUAGACCCAUUUUAAAUACUGCAGGUGCUGUUAUUGAUUGCAACAAAGGCAAUCUCACCUUUCAUGUUAAUGGAAAUGAGCAUACGGUACAUUUUCCGAGGAAACAACCUCAAGUUCAUAGCAUAAAUACUAUUGAGAAAAUUCCAUCAAUCAUUAUUGGAGGUUUCGAAUUUCCUCUCCCUACUAUCAAGAAAAAGUAUGAUGUUCUUAUUGUUGGGGAUGUUCAUAUCCCCAUUGAGGUAACCUAGUGUCACUUUGAAAUUUCUCCGGUUUCGUGUUAUUCAGAAUGAGUUUGUUAACAAGACUUGAUCAACCUUGUUAGUGGAUUCAUUUUGAUGAUCAUGAGAUGGAUGAAACUAGAAGGCACAACCUUCUGUACUUUCUUUUUUACUUUCUGUAAUUUAAAAUAAAUAAAGCAAAAAUAGUAUUAUCUAUCUGUUUUCUGAAUUAUCCGUGCAAUAAAAAUUAUCUCAAAAAUAAAAGUGCUCCAAAUGCCCUGCAAAUUUAGUAUUAUUUUUUAUGGAAUAUUUGAGGAUUUUAGGCACUGAAAUCACUGUAGGAGGGGCAAGCACCAGGCCACGAGAGUGGAGGGCGCGCCCACCAUCCCUGGGCGUGCCCCCCUGUCUCGUGGGCCCCUGGUGGCCCCCUCCACUUAUGCUAGCACCCACACACUCCAUCUUCUUCCCAAAAAAAUCCCCAUCCAGCUGAAGCACGAGUUCUAGCUCAUUUUGCUGCGAUUUUCGAUCUCCUUGCUCAAAGCUCCAUUCACAAAACUGCUUUGGGAGAUUGUUGCUUGGUAUGUGACUCCUCCAUUGGUCCAAAUAGUUUUUGUUCUAGUGUUUUAUUCAUUGCAAAUCCUUGCUAGAAUUACUGUGGGAGAAUCUAGGGAUAUAGCACAAGCUACCAUAGGGAGCAUUCAUUUUCCUUCUAUACAUUAUUUUGCUCUCUUCAUUGGUAGAUGUAUUAAUGGUAAAGAUGAGGCAUGUCAUAUGUGUUCCCCUGAUCUUUGUGUCCUCAAGAGUGCUGUAUUAACUGAUAAACAAUACAACUUGGGGGCAAUUGUUGCACGUAGAUUGCACCAUAAUGCUUUAGCUGGAGACUUUUUUGGAGGUAUUUAUGCAACCCGUGUGGCUAAUUAUCUUGAGGUACCUAUACAUGAAAAUGAUACAGAGCUGCCUCCCGCUUAUUUAGAUCAUAAUGCCAUGCUUAGUCAUCAUUUCCUUGAGAGGAAGGAACAAUUCCUCCAAUAUCGACUAAUCUUUGACAGACACCGUGCUAUCCAUAUGACUCUCCCUGUUCCUACCCUUUUUGAUUAUCAGGAAAAACGAAGAUAUGUUGUUACCACGGAGGAGGCAGCUGAAUACGAGAGGAGAGCGGAGGCGGCUCGCCAACAUGCCACAGCUCAGGAUGCACUUGCUGCUGCAUCUCAGUACAACCCCAGUUACAACUACGGAUAUCAGCCAGGCUAUCCAUGGCCAUAAACCAACUUAGGUCAAAAGCCUAAGCUUGAGGGAGUACGCAUCUCUCACCGACUUUACAUUCAUGUUCACACACUAUCCUAGUCAUCGAUGCUCAUACUUUUUCAUUGUAUUAUCCAUGCUAGUUUAAUUUUCUUUUUCUAGUUUUCUUCUUGUGUGUUUGAUAAACCUUAAGAAAAACCCAAAAAAUUAGUUAGUUUAAUUUCCAUGCUUAUAGUAGAAAUUAAAUUGAAAACCCCAAAAGAUUUCUCGUUCUUCUUUUACUUGUUGGGAGCUUUCCCGUGUGAAUAGUUUUCUUUUCUUUUCUUUCCUUUGAGGGGUUGAGAGUAGAAGACCAUAUUGAAAAUGUUUAGUGGCUCUCUUAUGCAUGAUUGUUUAUUUAAUUUAGAGCCCAUGUUACCCUGUCUUCUCUCUUGAGUUGAAUGCUUGCAGAUUCCAGCUUAGUCCAAUGCACGCGCACUCUUAUUAUUAUACACAUCGUUCAGUCGUGCGAGUGAAAGGCAAUAAUGACGAUAUAUGAUGAACUGAUUGAGAUGAGAGAAGCUGGUAUGAACUCGACCUCUCUUGUUUUUGUAAAUAUGAUGAGUUCAUCGUUCCUGAUUCAGCUUAUUAUGAAGUAAACAUAUUUGCAAUGACAUUUAGAGAUUAUAGUUGCUUGUGCCAUGCUUGAUUAGCUAUGAGUUAUAAUGGUCUACCUUGCGUGCAAACAUGCUAUUAGAAUGAUUAUGAUGUGAUAUGAUGGGAUGGUAUCCUCCUUUGAAUGAAUUGAGUGACUCGACUUGGCACAUGUUCACGCAUGUAGUUGAAACAAAUCAACAUAGCCUUCACGAUAUUUAUGUUCAUGGUGGAUUAUAUCCUACUCAUGUUUGUAUUCGGUGUGAAUUAGUUUUAAUGCAUGUUUAUGACUGUUGUCGCUCUCUGAGUUGGUCGCUUCCCAGUCUUUUGCUAGCCUUCACCUGUACUAAGCGGGAAUACUGCUUGUGCAUCCAAACUCCUUAAACCCCAAAGUUAUUCCAUAUGAGUCCACCAUACCUUCCUAUAUGCGGUAUCUACCUUCCGUUCCAAGUAAAUUUGUAUGUGCCAAACUCUAAACCUUCAAAUGAAAUUUUGUUUUGUAUGCUCGAGCAGCUCAGGUUUCCACUAGGGCUGCCUAUAUAUUUCAUGCUAGGUGGGUUAUUCUCAAGAGGAGUGGACUCCGCUCCUCAUUCAUGAGAAAGGGCCGGUAACCGGGAUGCCCAGUCCCAUGAUCCAAAAAGAUCAAAGCAAAUCAAUAUAUUUAAACAAAACUCCCACAGGGUUGUUGUUAGUUGGAGGCACUCAUUGUUUCGAGCAAGCCAUGGAUUGAUGCUUGUUGGUGGUGGGGGAGUAUAAACUUUUACCAUUCUGCGUGGGAACUGCCUAUAAUGCAUGUAGUAUGGAAGAUACAUCCAUCUCAUAGUUGUUGCGUUGACAGUGAAAGUAUGCCGCCCAAAAUGUUAUUCAAUCUCUAUUUUAAAAUCGAGCUCUGGCACCUCUACAAAUCCCUGCUUCCCUGUAUGAAGGGCCUAUCUAUUCACUUUUAUGUUGAGUCAUCACCUUCUUAUUAAAAAGCACCCGCUAGAGAGCACACUGUCAUUUGCAUUCAUUAUUGUUGAUUUAUAUUGGGUAUGACUUGAUUGGAUCUCUUUUACUAUGAAUUACAAUGUUUAGUCAGUCCUUGAUCUUUAAAGGUGCUCUGCAUUUAUGUUUUGCGGUCUCAGAAAGGGCUAGCGAGAUACCAUUUUGUUAUAUCAUGUUAUGAUUGUUUUGAGAAAGUGUUGUCAUCCGAGUUUUAUUAUUAUGACUCGCUAACUGACUAUGCUAUUGAUAUGAGUAAUUGUGAGACCGAGGUGUUAUUGUGAGUAUGGUUAGUUUAUAAUAUUUGUUGAAACUUGAAUGCUGGCUUUACAUGUUUACAACAAUAAGAGCAAACAGAGUUUGUAAAAGUUUUUCUUUAUCACUUUCAGUUUAUCAACUGAAUUGCUUGAGGACAAGCAAAGGUUUAAGCUUGAGGGAGUUGAUACGUCUCCAACAUAUCUACUUUUCCAAACACUUUUGCCCUUGUUUUGGACUCUAACUUGCAUGAUUUGAAUGAAACUAACCCGGACUGACGCUAUUUUCAGCAGAAUUACCAUGAUGUUGUUUCAUGUUAGAAAACAAAAGUUCUCGGAAUGACCUGAAAAUCCUCGGAGACAAGUUUCAGAAAAUAUAAAAAAUACUGGCGAAAGAAUCAAGACCAGGGGGCCCACACCCUGUCCACGAGGGGGGGGGGGGGAGGGGGCGCCCACCCACUCUCGGCGCGCCCCCUGUCUCAUGGGCCCCCUGCAGCUCCGCCGACCUCAACUCCAACUCCAUAUAUUCCGUCUCGCGGAGAAAAAAAUCGAAGAGAAAGUUUCAUCGCAUUUUACGAUACGGAGCCACCGCCAAGCCCUAAUCUCUCUCGGAAGGGCUGAUCUGGAGUCCGUUCGGGGCUCCGGAGAGGGGGAUUCGUCGCCAUCGUCAUCAUCAACCAUCCUCCAUCACCAAUUUCAUGAUGCUCACCGUCGUGCGUGAGUAAUUCCAUCGUAGGCUUGCUGGACGGUGAUGGGUUGGAUGAGAUUUACCAUGUAAUCAAGUUAGUUUUGUUAGGGUUUGAUCCCUAGUAUCCACUAUGUUCUGAGAUUGAUGUUGCUAUGACUUUGCUAUGCUUAAUGCUUGUCACUAGGGCCCAAGUGCCAUGAUUUCAGAUCUGAACCUAUUAUGUUUUCAUGAAUAUAUGUGUGUUCUUGAUCCUAUCUUGCAAGCCUAUAGUCACCUAUUAUGUGUUAUGAUCCGACAACCCCGAAGUGACAAUAAUCGGGAUACUUCUCGGUGAUGACCGUAGUUUGAGGAGUUCAUGUAUUCACCAUGUGUUAAUGUUUUGGUCCCGUUCUCUAUUAAAAGGAGGCCUUAAUAUCCCUUAGUUUCCGCUAGGACCCCGCUGCCACGGGUGGAUAGGACAAAAGAUGUCAUGCAAGUUCUUUUCCAUAAGCACGUAUGACUAUAUUCGGAAUACAUGCCUACAUUACAUUGAUGAAUUGGAGCUAGUUUUGUGUCACCCUAUGUUAUAGCUAUUACAUGAGGAAUCGCAUCCGACAUAAUUAUCCAUCACUGAUCCAUUGCCUAUGAGCUUUUCACAUCUUGUGCUUUGCUUAUUUACUCUUCCGUUGCUACUAUUACAAUCACUACAAAACCCAAAAAUAUUACUUUUGCUAUCAUUAUAUUUACCACUGUCACCAUUACUAUCAUACUACUUUGCUACUAAAUACCUUGCUGCAGAUACUAAGUUAUCCAGGUGUGGUUGAAUUGACAACUCAACUGCUAAUACUCAAGAAUAUUAUUUGGCUCCCCUUGUGUCGAAUCAAUAAAUUUGGGUUGAAUACUCUACCCUCGAAAGCUGUUGCGAUCCCCUACACUUGUGGGUCAUCAACUUGCUGGACGGUGAUGGGUUGGAUGAUAUUUACCAUGUAAUCAAGUUAAUUUUGUUAGGGUUUGAUCCCUAGUAUCCACUAUGUUCUGAGAUUGAUGUUGCUAUGACUUUGCUAUGCUUAAUGCUUGUCACUAGGGCCCAAGUGCCAUGAUUUCAGAUCUGAACCUAUUAUGUUUUCAUGAAUAUAUAUGAGCUCUCGAUCCUAUCUUGCGAGUCUAUAGUCACCUAUUAUGUGUUAUGAUCUGACAACCCCGAAGUGACAAUAAUCGGGAUACUUCUCGGUGAUGACCAUAGUUUGAGGAGUUCAUGUAUUCACUAAGUGUUAACACUUUGGUUCGGUACUCUAUUAAAAGGAGGCCUUAAUAUCCCUUAGUUUCCAAUAGCACCCUGCUGCCACGGGAGGGUAGGACAAAAGAUGUCAUGCAAGUUCCUUUCCAUAAGCACGUAUGACUAUAUUCAGAAUACAUGCCUACAUUACAUUGAUGAAUUUGAGCUAGUUCUGUGUCACCCUAUGUUAUUAUUACAUGAGGAAUCGCAUCCGACAUAAUUAUCCAUCACUGAUCCAAUGCCUACGAGCUUUUCACAUAUUUCUCUUUGCUUAUUUACUUUACCAUUGCUGCUGUUACAAUCACUACAAAACUACUACUGUUACUUUUGCUACUAUUACCAUUAAUUCCAUACUACUUUGCUACUAAAUACUUUGUUGCAGAUACUAAGUUAUCCAGGUGUGGUUGAAUUGACAACUCAACUGCUAAUACUUGAGAAUAUUCUUUGGCUCCCCUUGUGUCGAAUCAAUAAAUUUGGGUUGAAUACUCUACCCUCGAAAACUGUUGCGAUCCCCUAUACUUGUGGGUUAUCAAGAUUAUUUUCUGGCGCCAUUCUCGGGGAGUAUAGCUCUAUUCUUUGAGUCACUUAGGAUUUAUAUCUGCUGGUCACUAUGAGGAACCCUUGAAAGAUGAAAGAACUAAGAUUUAUCCCUCAACUACGAGGGGAGGUAAGGAACUGCCAUCUAGCUCUGAACUAGAUUCUCCUUCUGUUAUGAGUAAGCUUGCGACACCUAAACCUGCUUCUGCUAUGAAUUCUGAUAUGUCGCAUGUUAUUGAUGAUGCCACUUCUACUAUGCAUGAUACUUAUGAUGAAACUACUUCUAUGCUUGAUACCACCGUGCCAUUACGUGAAUAUCUUGAUGAACAACUUGCUAGGGUUAGAGAGAAUGAAACUAUUGAAACUGAUAUUAUUGAUGAUAGUGAUGAUGAAGGUUCUCCCCCUAAAUAUGAAUUGCUUGUUGUUCCUAAGGGUUGUGUUAUGCAUGAAGAAACUUGUCGUGUAAUUGUCACGGCAGAUGUCCUCAAUGUGAGGACUUAGUCGCGAGGCCAACGCAUCUAUAUGGUAGCUUGAGAGGGGUUGGGCGGAAUCGAGAGACGCAACAUAAGACAAGGAUUUAGACAGCUUCGGGCCCCGGGAAACAUCAUCCGGUAAUAACCCUACAUGCUGUUUGUGGCUAGGUCUCAUUAUGAUCAUGACGGAGUCGCCGGUAAGCCGGCUCUUCGUGUCUAGCCCUAGAGAUUGUUUCUUCUUCCUUGCUUGUCCCUCUUGGGGUGCCCUGCCCCUCCUUAUAUAAGUUGAAGGGGCGGGUUACAUGUGGAGUCCUAUUAGGAUUUGGUCUAGUCUAUUACAAGUGGAAUCCUAGUCUGCCCCCUUAAGGGAAAACUCCUUAUGCCUUUCCUCGUAAACUAGUCCUACCAUAACUUGAGCCGGCCUUCUGGGCCUUGGGCUAGUCUUCUAUAUGACCCGCCAUCGGGACCAUUAGUGAGUCGCCGGGCUCGUGAGUUUGUCAGACCAGUGAGUCGCCAAAUGUCAGUAGGGUCUCUGGUGAGCCGCCAAGUCCGGCCGGAUCAAAUUUCCGGCCGGGUCAUACCGCGGGGUAUAUCCCCGACAUUAGCCCCCAGUUUAAUUUGGAUUUAUCCAUGUUAAACUGAUCCUGUAAAAUAAACAUAAGAACAUGCUUGAUAGGUUGUGCUCCGGGUUAAAUAUUCUUGUAAGACGGCACCUGAUCAUCCUUAAUUCCUUGAAAUUUCCCCUUGGAUGCGUGUUCAUGAUCUCAUAGCAAAUCUCCUUUAGCAGAUGUGCUUAAACAUUACCAAUGCAAAAAAUCCAGGUACUUCUUCUGAAAAAUCUGGGUUAAUAUGCCAGCUUCAUAAUCAAUUUGCUGACAUUGGUUUCUUGUAGAGAAAUACUAUAACAAAUAAUCCAUUUGAGUCGGUUUCCAAAGCUCUGGCUUAAUAAACAUAUUGGACUCAAGAUUCAUCUGGUGAUCCGCCGGUUUAAGGACAUAGAGGCUGGUGAGUUAUAAUUGCCAAAAUUGCCGGGUUAUAAACAAAUGGUGCCGGGUCAUGUAAUUGUUGCUGAUGCCGAGUUAAUCUUAUGAUGACGCUGGGUCAUAAACUUUGCAGAUUUCUCCGCUAAUAAUAUAAUACCUGAUUUGCUCAAAACUGAGAAUUUGAAGUUAUUCCUCCCUUAUAUGCAUAUCACCUGUAGCCCCCAAGUGUCGGGUUGUCAUGCUUGUAGCAACCUGGGACUUGUAAUUGCCUUAUGCUCAUAAAAACUUCAACCAGUGUAUCGCCCAAGGGCUGGGUCAUUAUGCAAUAAUGAACAGGGACUUUGUAAAUAUGAUCAUGUAGAUUUGAGCAGCAACGUGUAGCCCCCGAGGGCCGGCUCAGUAAGAUAAUACUGAGCUGGGACUUUGUAUAUAAUUUAUUGAUAAUAACAUCAUAUAAUAUAAUCUCCACCAUGGGGCUUGAACCCACAUCCAAAAGGUUAAGAGCUUUAUACUCUACAACUGAGUAGUGGACCAUUCAAUAUAAUGGAUUAAUGCUUGUGUACCUUGAAUUUUUGACAAGAGCAAUUGGUAGCCUCCAAGGGCCGGCUCAUUACAAUGUGAUGAGUUGGGUCUUCAAUAAUUUGAGCAAAAAAUGAUUUUGCAUUAGCCCCCAAGUGCCAUGGUGCAUGCUGGCAGUGACAUGGGACUUGCAUAUUUGAUAUGAUCUCAAUCUGAAUAAUGUAGCCCCCAAGUGCCGGGUCGUAAGCCCGCAGCGACUCGGGACUAUUCCAUCUAUUGUAGAAUAAAUCAUAUCCAUUGAUAAAAUAAUAGCCAUUGUGCUGAAGCGACUUUAAAGACCUCCAUCAUAAUAUUGAUAACCAUGAUAAAAAAUCCAGCCCUGUUGGCUAUUCAAGAUUUGAAUAAUAUAAUCCGGUAUGAAAAACCUCAAUCAUUCAAUAUCAUCAUGAAAAUCCAGCCAAGUUUUGGCUAUUAGAAAUUUGAAUACCUUAUCGGUUGACAAGUAGAUCCGAAGUUCAAAUAUUUGGCGGCCCUUGGCCGAUGGCGACUUAAUGCGCAUUUUGUAAGCAAGAAUUUCAUAACCCGGCGGCUUAUAGCCUUUGAGAAAACACAGAAUGGAUAAGUUGAAGCAUCAAUUUUGAUAAUGAGCUUGAACUUAACCAUUUAUGUAAGUCAUAUUUCCGCAAAUCCUGCACAGAGUUUAAACAACAUAUGCCCUGGCGACUUAACGUCAAAGCCAGGGCGGGUAACAACCCAAACAUAAUAUAGUCUAUGCAAUUAUGGAAAAGACUAGGAUUAAGGCCAUUCAAGCCUAAACAUACUGGUGACUUAACGUCAAAAGCCAGGGCGGGUUAUCCAACCUUGCAUAUUUAUAUAAUCAGGAAAACAUACCUGUAGAAAUUAUCUCAUACUGCCGGCUUACAUCACUGUAUUAAUAAGGGCAAUAAUCCAAUGAUUGAUAAGCGCAUGAUUCCAAUGGUGCAAUCCAAAAUAUACCGGUGCCUUAAAGUCCAUAGCUAGGGCCGGUUUAAACAUAAUCAUGUAUAAACAAUAUCAUACCCGUGAUAUUGAAUCGUACUGCCGGCUUAUGACACCUGUGUAGUAAGGGUGAUAACCCAAUCUUUAAAAGCCAAAACUUCCAAAUGUUUGAUGAUUGUCAUAUGCUGGCGACUUAUCAUCCAAAGUCAAGCCGGGCGGUUUACCGUAGGGCGGGUCACAAUAUCUCACAUAUAACCACUGUGAUAUUGAAUUUGUACUGCCGGUUUAUGUGACCUGAACAGUAAGGGUGAUAUCCCAAUCUGUGAAGACCAACACUUCCAAAGAUAUGAUGAUUCACAUGUGUUGGCGACUUAUCAUCCAAAAUCAAGCUGGGUUAAACUUAAACCACACUUACACUUAGAUCUUGGAACAAAAAAGUCUCAAGUCAAAUAAAGGUUGUGCUCAAAUAAAACUUAAACCAAACAAGAAGAAACAAUCAAGGCUUCUAAUUUGAAUACGAUCAGUAAACCGCUCCAAAGGGGUUAAGCUAGGAUUCAAAUAUGAUCAUGUAGCCCCCAGUGGCUUUGGCAUUGCGCCGAUCAAGAGGGUACCGACAACUAUGUUCUCUUUGGUUUGAAUACAACCUAUGUUUGAACAGGAAGCCCCCUAAUGAUCUUGAGAGUUUUUUAACGACUCUGAUUCGAAUACGAUCAAAGUCGGUUCCCAAAAGGGGUUAAGCUAUGAUUCGAAUACGAUCAAGAAGCCCCCUAGUGAGCUCGGCAGUGUGCCGAUCAAGAGGGUACCGACAGCUAUGUUCUCUUUGGUUCGAAUACGACCUAUGUUUGAACAGGAAGCCCCUAGUGAUCAUGAGAAUAUUUAACGACUCUGAUUCGAAUACGAUCAGGGUCAGACCCAAAUGGUUAAGCUAAAUUCGAAUACGAUCAGCUCCCAAUGGUCAUUAAAGAAGGGUACCUAUGUUUGAGUUGUGCUUUGUAACAGACUCUCUUUGGCCCCUUUAAUUUUUCCUGAGAACUCGAGCUUUGCGAGAGAUAAAUUCUUUUUGAACCGGAUAUUGAGAGCUUCAAAGCUUUGUAAGAGACAGAUUUCUCUUGAACCGGAUUCUGAACCGGAAUUCUUCAUUUUGAGCCGGAAAUUUUCCGACGGCCUUUAAACUGGCAAUAUUUACUGAGCCAUGUCCAUGUAGCCCCCGAGUCUCAAGGCGGCUCAAGGAGUUGUCUUUGAGAUUCUCCAUAUUUGACCAUAGAAGAAGGUGUAUAUCAUUGGUGUUGAUAGCGCGAUGUGAAUCCACAGAAUGUUGAGGUGACUGCGGCGGGUUAUAAAUGAUGCCGUAUGAGCCGUGUCAGUAACUCGGCCAAUGGUUCCUUCCAACUGGAUGUUUCGAAGUUAACCAAACUGUAGUGGCGGCGACUUGUGCGCCUGCCCAUUGAGCCGUCUAGUGCAGACGGCGGCUGAUAACACAUGAUAAUUUUCCUCCAAGUUGUUGGAAGAAAACUGGGCUUCCCAAGCAGUGACUUGCUCAUAUUCAAUAAUCAUCUCAUGCAGACAGGUGUGGCCCGGUAUGGUGAUAUAGACCAGGCCGCGAGAGACUGACGGUAAAGACGACCAUAGCAUCAAAAGCAGUACAGACAGAUGAGUUGGUCACGACGUUGUAAUCCGGUGUGGACGAGCGAUUCAAUCGCAGGCGCGGUAAACCGCACGGAUUGGCGAGUCAACCACGUCGUGUUGAUGUAGUGAACAAUUGUCCUGUAUUAGAUACAUCGCAAGCCAAAGUAAUUGCUCUUUUUAAAGAAAACAAUAUAUAAUAUAUAAAAUUUACUGGAUUGAUUUCACCUGAUAUGUCAGGCUAGAAAUUAUCCACCAUAGAGUUGAUGAUCAUCACGGUGAAGCUGAAACCAAUCACGUCCGAGUCGGCCGCGGCAUUGUAAGCCAGCGCGGACGGGCGAGUCAAUCGCGGGCGUGGUAAGCCGCAUGGACGGGAGAGUCGGCGCAGGGGCGGACGGGCAAGUUGUCUGUGGCAUUGUAAGGCGGUGCGGAUGGGCGAGUCGGUUGGCAUGUUGAUGUAGACCGGACCGCAGGGGCGGCGGCUUACAGGCUUGUCCGUGAAGUUGCGACACAGACGAACGCCCAUAAAAAUGAUGCUGGCGCAUGCUCCAUAUUCGCAGUAUAUCAACACUUUUGUAACAAAUAAUUUACCUGUGUAUAACAACAAUAUAGGGCAGCGUGGUUGUUUCCAUAAAAAAUUAACAAGUACUGAUAAAAAGUAAACUGGAUGGAUAUCACCUGAUGCUUCGUUGGUCGAAUGCAGACACUGGCAUUCAAUAAUGCUGGACCAGUAUGUCUGUGUCGUUGGAUGUACGACCAACACUCCAAUUUGAACCGUGCGUGAGGUACUGGAGGUGCAUGGAAAGUGAAUAGUAUGCGCAUGUGAUUAGCACUCUGGCCGCAUAAUUCAUGCACGUAGCAGGUUUCCUCCUCCCCCUUUUUUGCAGGCUUCUGCCAGAUUUAGUAUGCAGUACGUGGGUCUGCAAGGCGGACGCUGGCCCAACCUCCAUCGGGGACGCAUGAGACCUGUAUCCACGGAGCGACGUCACUUCGACAGUCAACUGACUGACCGUCACAGUACUUGUUGCAGUCAAUUGUCUCUUCCUUAGACUUCAGCCUGUUUAUUUGGCAGCAGAUGAAAAACUGAUGAUUUCCUAGUUUUCUCGAGACGAAGUAGUGCACGGGCUCCACAUUGGAUCUUGGAGUGUUGAGUACGUAUACCAGUACUAAUAUUAAUCCAUGGUCUUGUCUGCUUUUGUGAAGUAGUACUCACAGUACCUUGAUAUCUCGUAUGCAAUGCUUGAAAAAUCAAUUGAUUCUCGCGAGACGGCUCACAGGCAUGGGCAAGCGAUGACAAUAGAGGCAGGGGCGGCUUGACAAUGGUACGGCGCAGUUCGGAGGCGUACCGGCGACUCGCAGCAACGGCAUACACGGUUGAUGAGGCGAAUCCGUGGGACGGCAGUUCAGGCAGGCGCGAGGGCGCACCAGCGGCAGAAAGGUGGCCAUGUCAGAAGGGCACCGACGACUUGAGGCAGACCAUGGCUUGGCGCUGCUAAGUUUGAGCCGGCGGUGGCUUACAAUAGCGAAGGCGAUUCGUGCGGCAAGGCGGGCAGCGGCUCCCAGCGCGGCGGCUCAGGGCCAUGGGCGCGAGCUCGCGCGAGGGCAGCUCAAGGUGGCCGUGGACCGCAGUGAAUUAAGGCGCCCAUGGGCCGCGGCUACUUGAACCCAUUAGCACUCCGGCAGCCGGCGGAGCAAGUUGAGCAGGGACGGCGUGUUGCAGCGCCUGAAGUGGCCAGUCAUCAGAGGCGGCCGAGGCGGCUUGAGGGCACAAGUGGAAUGUGACGCCGAUCAGUGCGGGGGCGGCUCGAGGAGUAGAGGUAUGGCCGGCCCGUGGCGCUGCCGAGAUGGUGGGUCACAAAGCAGGCCAUAUGUGGAGUACGAGCCCGCGGACCAUCCGUGUCCGCGUCGUAUCCAUCUGAAUUGAAUCCGGUUUGGAGCAGCAAUAUUGAUAGUCUCAGCCAGAUUUUGGUAUAACCCCGGUCACGUAUAUCCUAGACAACCCGUACAGGCAUUGACUUUCAUGGACUUAUCCCAUUGAUUUGCUUUUGCUUGAAAAGAUGCUUUCUAAUCCACCGAUUUUGGCAAACAUGCUCUAUCACGCACAUGCAUGGCUAGUUGUAGUUUCCUCGGGAGCGCUAGCUCUGUCCAAGAGUAUUUCAUGCCAGCUGUCGGCUUAAAGUUUAAUCACACUUUUGAUUACAAACGUUGAAUGCGCUAGCUCUGUCCAAGAGUAUUUCAUGCCAGCUCUUCUUAUCUUGGGCUUACAGCAAAGGCGAGCGGCUUGCGAGGCGACUCAAAGCCGGAGCCAGGCGCGACGAUGGCGGCUCGUAACAAACGCGGGAGGCUCAAGGCCAGAGCGAGAUACGGCAACGGCGGCGGUCAGUUCGGACGGUGACAGCUUGGAGCAGGCGAUGGCGACUCAACGCGCAACCAGAGUCGUCGGAGUCCGUGCUCAUGCUUGGGUCCUUCUCCAAGUCGUGGCCGGAUUGACCAAUCCGUCUCAGUCGUGGUUGAUUUUCGAUUUUGUGUUUAACUGCGCACGUGUGGAUCCGAUCGGCAGCGUGUCUUCCUGACGAAUAGUAGUACACAAGUAACACCGCUCGAUUAAUCUUGACGGGCUAGUUGGCCUGUUUUUGAUCUUCAUCUCGAAUAAACAAUAGCUUUGAUUGACGGCCCUGGACUUGUAGCGCCGUAGCCAAAAAUUCCUUAUCCAUCGACAUGCAUCAUGAUGAAUCGCCCAAGGCCAACUCGGACUCGGCGGAAUAUCCACUGCGCGUGAGGCGGCUGCACAACAAUUAAGCCUAAAAUAGUCUCAAUCUCAUGCCCGCCGUCGCAGCAUACUUUGUUAAUCCUGACCAAUGAACUCAUAGUUAAUGUGAAUUUUUCCACGCCGGCUUGUUGAACUGGAAAAUUUCAAACUUCUCACUCCUUGUGACAGACCCCUUCAAGAACUCAACACCAUCAUGCACAUGCCCCACGGUGGGCGCCAACUGUCGUGGAAUUGUCAUGCCAGAUGUCCUCAGUGUGAGGACUUAGUCGCGAGGCUAACGCAUCUAUGUGGUAGCUUGAGAGGGGUUGGGCGGAAUCGAGAGACGCAACAUAAGACAAGGAUUUAGACAGCUUCGGGCCCCGGGAAACAUCAUCCGGUAAUAACCCUACAUGCUGUGUGUGGCUAGGUCUCAUUAUGAUCAUGAGGGAGUCGCCGUUAAGCCGGCUCUUCGUGUCUAGCCCUACAGAUUGUUUGUUCUUGCUUGCUUGUCCCUCUUGGGGAGCCCUGCCCCUCCUUAUAUAAGUUGAAGGAGCGGGUUACAUGUGGAGUCCUAUUAGGAUUUGGACUAGUCUAUUACAAGUGGAAUCCUAGUCUUCCCCCUUAAGGGAAAAGUAAUUAUGCCUUUCCUCGUAAACUGGUCCUACCAUAACUUGAGCCUGCCUUCUGGGCCUUGGGCCUAGUCUUCUAUAUGACCCGCCAUCGGGGCCAUUAGUGAGUUGUCGGGCUUGUGAGUUUGUCAGACCAGUGAGUCGCCAAAUGUCAGUCGGGUCUCUGGUGAUCCGCCAAGUCCGGCCGGAUCAUAUUUCCGGCCGGGUCAUACCGCGGGUAUAUCCUCGCGAGGCCAACACAUCUAUGUGGUAGCUUGAGAGGGGUUGGGUGGAAUCGAGAGACGCAACAUAAGACAAGGAUUUAGACAGCUUCGGGCGUCGGGAAACAUCAUCUGGUAAUAACCCUACAUGUUGUUUGUGGCUAGGUCUCAUUAUGAUCAUGAGGGAGUCGCCGGUAAGCCGGCUCUUCGUGUCUAGCCCUAUAGAUUUUUUCUUCUUGCUUGCUUGUCCCUCUUGGGGUGCCCUUCCCCUCCUUAUAUAAGUUGAAGCAGCGGGUUACAUGUGGAGUCCUAUUAGGAUUUGGACUAGUCUAUUAUAAGUGGAAUCCUAGGCUGCCCCCUUAAGGGAAAACUUCUUAUGCCUUUCCUCGUAAACUGGUCCUACCAUAACUUGAUCCGGGCUUCUGGGCCUUGGGCCUAGUCUUCUAUAUGACCCGCCAUCGGGGCCAUUAGUGAGUCGCCGGGCUUGUGAGUUUGUCAGACCAGUGAGUCGCCAAAUGUCAGUCAGGUCUCUGGUGAGCCGCCAAGUCCGGCCGGAUCAUAUUUCCGGUUGGGUCAUACCGCGGCGUAUAUCCCCGACAAAACUGCUAGAGAUUUUCUUGCUUGCAAUGAUAGGUCUGAUCUUAAGAAGUUAUUAGCUAAACUGAAACAGAAAUCUCUGAAUGCUAGAAUGAAAUAUGACCCUGCUUUUCCUACUUCACCUAUCUUUGUUACUGAUAAGGAUUAUGAUUUCUUUGUCGAUCCUGAGAUAAUUAGUUUGGUUGAAUUUGAUCCUUUUUAUGGCUAUGAAUCUGAAACUGUUGUGGCACAUCUUACUGAAUUGAAUGAUAUAGCCACCCUGUUCACUAAUGAUGAGAAAUCUCGCUACUACUAUAUCCUUAAGAUAUUUCCGUUCUCAUUAAGGGGUGAUGCUAAAACUUGGUUUAAUUCUCUUGAUCAUGGUUGUGUGCAUAGUCCCCAGGAUAUGAUUUAUUAUUUCUCUGCUAAAUAUUUCUCUGCUCAUAAGAAACAACCUGCCUUGAGGGAAAUAUAUAAUUUUGUGCAAUAUGAAGAAGAGAGUCUCCCCCAAGCUUGGGGGAGGCUUAUCCGAUUACUUAAUGCUUUGCCUGAUCAUCCUCUUAAGAAAAAUGAAAUACUUGAUAUCAUUUAUAAUGGACUAACUGAUGCUUCCAAAGACCACUUGGAUAGUUGUGCUGGUUGUGUUUUCAGGGAAAGAACAGUCGAUCAAGCUGAAUUGCUAUUGAAUAAUAUAUUGACUAAUGAAAACAAUUGGACACUUCCUGAGCCAACUCAUGACCAAAUUUUUGAGCCAACUCCUAAACCAACUCCGAAGAAAAGGGGUGUUCUGUUUCUCAGUCCUGAAGAUAUGCAAGAGGCAAAGAAAUCUAUGAAAGAAAAAGGUAUUAAAGCUGAAGAUGUUAAGAAUUUACCUCCUAUUGAAAAAAAAUACUUGGCCUUAAUGUACUACCUAUUGAAGAAACACAUGGUCUUGAUAACCCGACACAGGUAGUAAAGGUAAAUUCUCUCUAUAGAUAUGAUAAAGUUGAAAUCCCGUCUACUAAGUUUGCUAGCCAAUGCUUGAAUGAAUUUGAUGACUUUAUGGCUAGAUAAGAAAACUUCAAUGCUUAUGUUGGUAGACAAUUGAAACAAAAUGCUUAUAUGAUUGGAUACUUGAGUGAUUAUAUGGCUAGAGUUAAAGGUGAAUUUAAACUGAUUAGCAAACAUGCUUCUAUGGUUAACACUCAAGCAGAACAAGUGCUUAAGGCUCAGAAUGAUUUACUCAAUGAAUUAAAUAAUAAACAUGACUUUGCUGUUAGAGUGGCUACUAAAAUGGGUAAAAUGACUCAGGAACCUUUGUAUCCUGAAGGCCACCCUAAGAGAAUUGAGCAAGAUUCUCAGAGAAAUAAUGUAGAUGCACCUAGUCCUUCUAAAAAGAAGAAAAAGAAAAAUGAUAGGACUUUGCAUGCUCCUAGUGAACCUGUUGUAGACACACCUGAGAAUCCCAAUGAUAUUUCUAUUUCUGAUGCUGAAACACAAUUUGGUGAUGAACAUGAAACUAGUGAUAAUGUUAAUGAUAAUGUUCAUGUUGAUGCUCAACCUAGCAAUAAUAGUGAUAUAGAGAUUGAACCUGAUGUUGAUCUUGAUAACCCACAAUCAAAGAAUCAACAUUAUGAUAAGAGAGACUUCGUUGCUAGGAAGCACGGUAGAGAAAGAGAACCAUGGGUUCAGAAACCCAUGCAUUUUCCUCCUAAACCAUCCAAGAAAAAGGAUGAUGAGGAUUUUGAGCACUUUGCUGAAAUGAUUAGACCUAUCUUUUUGCGUAUGAGUUUGACUGAUAUGCUUAAAGUAAAUCCUUAUGCUAAGUACGUGAAAGAUAUUAUACAAAUAAAAGAAAGAUACCGGAAGCUGAAAUUUCCACCAUGCUUGCUAAUUAUACUUUUAAAGGUGGAAUACCAAAGAAACUUGGAGAUCCAGGAGUACCAACUAUACCAUGCUCCAAUAAAAGAAACUAUGUUAAAACUGCUUUAUGUGAUCUUGGAGCUGGUAUUAGUGUUAUGCCUCUCUCUUUGUAUCGUAGACUUGAAUUGAAUAAGUUGACACCUACUGAAAUAUCUUUGCAAAUGGCUGAUAAAUCAACUCCUAUACCUAUCGGUAUUUGUGAGGAUGUGCCUAUUGUGGUUGCAAACGUUACUAUCUUAACGGGCUUUGUUAUUCUUGAUAUUCCCGAGGACGAUAGUAUGUCGAUUAUCCUUGGUAGACCGUUUUUGAAUACUGCAAAGGCUGUUAUUGAUUGCAACAGAGGCAAUGUCACAUUUCAUGUUAAUGGUAAUGAGCAUACGGUACACUUUCCGAGGAAACAACCUCAAGUUCACAGUAUCAAUUCUAUUGGAAAAAUUCCGUCAAUUAUUAUUGGAGGUUUUGAAAGAAAUAUGAUAUUCUUAUUAUGUGGGAUGUGCAUAUCCCCAUUGAGGUAACCUAGUGUUAUUCGAAAUUUCUCUGGUUCCAUGUUAUUCGGAAUGAGUUUGUUAACAAGACUUGAUCAACCUUGUUAGUGGAUUCCUUUUGAUGAUCAUGAGAUGGAUGAAGUUAGAAAGCACAAACUUCUGUACCCUUCUUUCACUUUCUGUUAUUUAGAUUAAAUAAAGUAAAAAUAGUAUUUUCUGUCUAUUUUGUGAAUUAUCCAUGCAAUAAAAAAUACCCUGAAAAUAAAAGUUCUCCAAAUGCCCUGCAAAUUUAAUAUGAUUUUUUCUAGAACAUUUGAGAAUAUAUGGCCACGAGGGUCAGGGGUGCGCCCUACCCCUCUGGGCGCCCCCCUGCCUCAUGAGCCCAUAGUGCCCCCCUCAACUUAUUCAUGCACCCACACACUUCCUCUUCCUCCCAAAAAAAUCACUAUCCAGCUCAAGCACGAGUUCUAGCUCAUUUUGCUGCCAUUUUCGAUCUCCUUGCUCAAAGCUCCAUUCACAAAACUGCUUGGGGGGAUUGUUCUUUGGUAUGUGACUCCUCCAAUGGUCCAAUUAGUUUUUGUUCUAGUGCUUUAUUCAUUGCAAAUUUUUGCUGCCUAGGUGACCCUGUUCUUGAGCUUGCAUGUCAAUUUUUUAUGGUCCCAAGUAGUUCUAAUGCAUGAUAUAGUCUCUAGGCACUUGUGGGAGUAGUUGCUAUCAAUUUUGUUGAGUUUGGUUCACUUUUAUUUUGUGUUACUAAAAAUUUCAGAAAUUUUCAGAGAAUGAUGAAGAGAUUUUUGAGGGGCUCUUCUAGCCAAAGCUCGAAGGAGAAUAAAAAGCCCAAGUAUAAUCUCCCUCGCGUCACGGAAGUUCGGCCGUGUGAAUGGCCUUGCGAUGAGUUCUUGAGAGCAGCCGGGAUACAUGAAGAUUUUUAUUCUUUGGCUAAUGAUGCGGGCCUCACCGACUUCCUCCACGACCAGAUCGAACAGUAUCUCUUACUCACCAAUACUUUCGUGCAAAAAUUUUACUUUCAUCCUAAGAAAUUACCUCCUUCAAUAGAUUUUCAUUUAUAUGAUGAGGCUAGGGAGAUGUCACUAUGUGAAUUUUGUGCGGUUUGGAAGAUACCCUUCGAGGGCAGCCUAGAGGAACCACAUCGUAAAGAUGUGGAUGGAUUUAUUGAUAUGAUCAUGUAGGGGAAACGAGGAAGGUUUCCGAUGCAAGAAUUACUAGCAUACACUUUCCUGUUCUACGUUACUUUGCAAUAUUUGCUAGUAGAUGCUUAAUUGGUCGCGGAAACUGCGGAAACCUCAGUGUUCCUGAUAUUAUUAUUUUGUUCCAUGCUUUAUUUCAUGAUAACUUUGUUAGUAUGGGCUCUAUUGUUGCUAAAAGAUUAAGCCUGGACCGUACAAAGGGCCCCAUCUUUGGAGGCAUCUAUGCUUCACGCCUUACUAAAUACUUCAGGAUACCUAUUAGGCAUUAUGAUAAAGAAGAAAAGUUGUUGCCCCUACCUUUCUAGAUUAUAAGAUCAUGGUAGCGCAUGAGUUUAUUGUUAAAAAUGAUGAGAAGAUGCUUAAGUAUAAUUUGAGAUUUCAUAAGAAACACAGUGAGACUAUUAUUUUGCCUGCACCCUAGUUUAACUUAACUGCAGGCACAUAUCUCGUCUUGCCGGAGGCUGUUUACGCGUACCGGGGCCAGACAUCAGCUCCAGAGUCUGAGCCGGAACCACCACUUGACCCUUAUCAUCCAUCCUUUUAUCAGUGGGAUCCGGAGGAAAUUGCCAGCAAGUGGCAGUCAGACAACACUCCUCAGUACACCGGAGAGAGUAGCCGCGAUCCAUGGGCAUAGACCAACUUAGGCCAAAAUCCUAAGCUUGGGGGAGUACGUAUUUCUCACCGACAUUACAUUCAUGUUCACACACUCAUUCUAGUUGUCGGUGCUCAUACUUUUUCAUUGUACUAUCCAUGCUAGUUGACUUUCUUUUCCUGUUUUCUUCUUGUGUAUUUGAAUAACCUUAAGAAAAAACAAAAAAAA